rnacentral:lncRNA from 1 species
UUGAUGUUGCCCGUCAUGAUGGAAAAUCUUAUGGCCCGAGCAUGCCCAACACUGGUUUCACCCUCACCUCCCGGACAUUUAAGAUGACAGGGAAUUGCACCACGCCGUGGCAGUGGAAUGAGGAUGCUGUUGUCACUUCAGAUGAACUAUGGCAUGCAAACACCAUGGAGAGUCUCCCUCAUGACAUUGUGAUGCUCCCAUUGCUGAGUAUGGAUAAGGCCAAUGUUGCGCACCUUUCAUUGAUUGACUGGGAUGGUGGAUUCUCAUUAGUUUCCAUCGACUUGAGUAACAUGCAAGUGAUGGGCCCAGUCAUUACAUACCUCAAAGGGAAGGAUGAUACUGCUGAUGCUGACAUCGUCGAGGAAAAGAAAGGAUUAGGUGCACACUUUAUUCCAUCCGAAUUCCCCAAGUUCCUGGAUCUCAGGUAACUUCAGCGUUGCCUCCCACUUUUACUUGAGCACAAUUUUUUUUCAUGCAGCCUUUUGCUCUCUUUUUUUCAGCAGUUAAGGUUUCUGCCAUGUUAUUCUUGAAACCUUUGAGGAAUCAACAGAAUGUGCUGGUUGCUGGGAGUAAUAUGGAUCAAUGUUUUCAAGUCUUUAUGUUGAGUCUAGUCGCUGGGGUACCAACUAGAUGGCUAAUCGUGACUAGGCAACGAUUAAAUGGCGAUUAGCUAUGAGACCAGUCGAUCCACCCUUGCCUAUAGUAGAGAAUGAUAGAGUAUAACACAAAGGUGACGAACUGAUCUCUUGGUUUGAGCCCAACACAUAAUUGUUUUUUUUGGAUUCUUCAAUCUGAAAGUGCAUAAUAGCGUGCCAGCGUUGUGCUUUGUUUCCUUCACUAUUUUGAUUCUACAUGUCAAAUUAUUGAAAGGUUUUGUUCAGUUACCAACAACAUGGAUCCUUAGAAGUAGGUGGCACCCAGCGAAUCAGCAUCAUAUCGAAGAACCCCUAGGUCUUCUAAACAAACCGGCUGGAAUUGUGGAAAUCAAUUAAACUUAAUUAUAUCCAUAGUGCCUUCCUUGUAUAUCAUGUUUCAUUCAGCCAGUAGUAACCUCAGCAACUUGACGGUCUUGGGAAAUUAGGCAAUGGUAGUCUGCCUGAGGUUAAUAUAGGCCCUUUUUGUAUCCGCUUAUUUCCUGCUUAUCAAUGGAAAUAAGCGAUAAGCCCACCCAAAUGCCUAGCUUAUUUCCCGCUUACCUCCCAAGCCGCUUAGCCCACAAUCUGGAAAACAACUAGCGUCCCGCUUAUUCUCUAUGCGGUCUUGGGGCCGCUUCUUGGGCAAGCGAAGCGCUUUUUCCUGAUACCCUCACCCGUCCGCUGCCUGCCGCCCUCCGACCGUCGUCGGCUCCGUCCGCCGCCCGCCUGCCUCCAUCGCUUCCCUGCACAAAUCCCAUCCAGAUCCCGUUGCCAUCAGUCACCAGCACUCCUGCCCAGAUCCCGUCGCCGCCGGUUCCGUUCGCUGCCCGCCGCCGGCCGACCCUACGCUUGGCCCCCUGUGCUUGGCCUCCGGCCGGCCCUGCUGUUCUUUUUUGUGAAGGAGGUGGCGGAGUGCUGGCCGUCUACUGCUGAGUGUUGGUCGUGAGCAGCAUUUGAGCUCGCCGUGCGUGCUGCCGUUGUUGUUGAGAAGGAGCUAGAUAUGGGUGCAUUGCGUCAUGUUAUUGCUGUCGCUAUGGUUCGUGAUUCGUUGUUGUACUCAUGAUGGAUGUUUCCAUACUAGACCGUUCUGUCAUAUGAAUUUCAUAUUAUUGUAAUGAAAUUUCUAUUUAACAAACUCCAAAAAUAUUGGAAUUAUUAUCUUCUCCUCAGAUUCACAAUAAAAAUGAGCUAUUAUCAGCCUCAGGGGCAUUCAGGUCAAUUUACUAGCCAGGACAGACAAUCGACACAAAAUAAUCAGGAUUGCCAAACACCCAGCUUAUACAGACAGCGGAUUCUCCAGACAGCAGGCAGGCUUUUAAGAUAAGCCUGCUUGCCAGAUAAGCGAGUUCAGAAAAACGUAUACAAACAGGACCAUAAAUGUUUCACAGCUUAUUCUGUUGCCUAACUGUUGCUUGUCACGUUGAUCCCAAAAUCGACCAUAAGCUAAGUUAUUUUUUCUUAAUGACGUCCGAGGCACCUGAGAAUCUUUUAUAAUUCUUGGUAACCAUGGAUACUAUCAAAAUAACUUCAGCAAUGGGUGAAUCUAAGACUAUGGGAAGCCUAAAUUUCGAUUUGUACAGAUUAUCUCUGCUGAAAAAAAUUAUUGAAAUCAUCAGCAUGUGUUGUAGCUGACAAUUAUUGUUUCCUAUUUGUAUUGAUGAAGUUCUUGCUACUGUAUUGCAGGAAGAGAGAGAAUCAUCCAUAAGUCCUGUCACCAUAUCGGCUGGCCACCGUCGUCAUGUGUGUUGCUUCUUCAUUUUCCAGUUCUGUUGUGCUGGAUUCUACUGCCGACUUUGUUGAUUGGCUACUACAAUUCUGAGUUUAGUCCUCAGCUUUUGUGUGUUCCCUGCACUUGUGUACUAUAAAUAGCCAGGAAAAACACCUUUACCCGGCUCAUCCGUUGAACUAUAUGAUAAUGCUAGAUGAUGUGUCCAUGCCUUACUAACGUCUUCUACAUGCCAUGCGAGUUAAAAAUCCUGCAAUCAUGUUUCGUGGUAGCAGUUUACCUUUGCACAAUGAAACUCCUCACUAAACCACAGUUCAAUUUGAGGGACUACUGCGUUGUUUUUACAGGGAUCUAAUGCCAUCAAUCAAAUUGUAAAAUACAGACAGGUACGCGUGGAAUGGACACUUGUGUUCAUUCAGAUUUUUGUGAUAUUUCAUACCUAAUGAUUACCAGGUUGUCACGCCCCUACAUGCAAAAUUGGUCUACGAGAUGGAAUAUAAGCUCAAAAGGACGUGAGAGCUGUAUUAUCAUGUAGCUCAUGACCUGGCAGAAGUGAAUAGUUGCACGAAAUACAACAUUGCAAACAAGGUUUUUAUUCAUUUUCUCUGCUGAUGGCACAUGGUAGCAGAAGCAGUGCCACCAAUUGGUGAAAGAUUUUCAGUAAACUGAGUGUUUGACAGAACAAUAUGAUGCCACCAAAGCAAUCUGCAUGAGUUCUCUACCUCCGGAAGUCCAGAUGGUUGCUCUGUUUCAUUCCUCACCAUGGUCAUGGCAGGGCGUGAUGGCACCCCCCCCCUCCCUAGGCGGGGCGCGGAGGCUGCAGGUUCAACUCAGAGUUUAGACCUUAACUUGUUCGUGAGCAAUGCAGAAUGCUACAAAUGUAAUACAGUGGGCAUGCAUGAUGCUGAAACAAACUAGUGCAACUUUUAGUGGAACAAUUGAUGAAUUAUGAUGUGUUGUCCAAGUAAAGGAUCGGUGGUGUUGUUUUGCUGAUCUUUUAGCAAAAAUCUAGUGAUAGUGUGUGGAUAUAUAUCCUAAGUUCCUAAUAACUCAUAGAUGAACAAUGAAUGCUAUAUUGAAUUGAAGCCAUGUUUGUUCUAUUCAAAAUGCAGGGAGCAUGCUCGAGCGGGCUUGGGGGGUCAUGGAGGGUCUGCUAAUGCUGGCACAAAGCCAGACUGGUUCCUUGAAGGGUGAGUAAUUAAUAUCUUUGAUUCAUCUAAGCAGUGCAAAAGUGAUGUGCUUAAUGCCUUGGACAAUGAAGCACCAGCUACUUCUAUGUUUUUUCCACCAAGAUUAGCUCAUGAUUUUGUCACUUUUUCCCACAACCUGCAAGUUUUGAAGCACUUUACUUUUGCCAUGUUAGCCAAAAUUUGGAGACAAGUACAAAGAGUAAGGAUAACCAACUCAUUUCUAGUAUUGGAGCAUCAAAAUCUAGUUCUGGAGCAUCAAAAAGGUAAUACACAGAUCUUAAAAAAUUGGUCAUACUGCUAUUGCUAUUUUGUUGCUACUGUUAUUUUGUUGUCUUUUGUUCAAAUCUAGUUCUAGCAUACACAUGUCAAUAUCAGAUUCAAAUGAACCUCCGCCUACUGCUGCUCCAGUCAAGGCAAAGAGCAAAAGGAAAAAGGAGCCUACUAAAAUGAAAACCACCAUUUCUAUACUGCCACUUGACAGCCCUACAAUGGGCCAAAAAACAAAAGGGUGGAUCCUGCUAGCCCUGCAAUGAGCACAAGGAGCAAAAGAAGGCUCAACCUGUGAUCCUUAUGAAUCUAUAAAUUUGGACUCCGCCAUGAAUCUUUUUAUAUAUCAACCUUUGUGUGUGAACUUGCAUGUGAAUUUGAACUCCUAUGUGAACUUGCAUGUAUAUGUGGUGCCGUUCUGUGAGCUGUUGCGAUAAAAGGAGCUAAGCCUCAGAGCGUUUCCUAGGAUCUGAAUGAAUUUUUCCUUCUUUUUUCUGCUGUCCAGAUCUACUUCUGAGGGAGUUGGAUAUAUUCUAAGGUGCUUGCCAGGUGUUCAAGAGAGGAUUCUGCUUGUUUUUCGUGCGUGUAUAAUGGAGCAACAAGUGGAGGAGGCGAACGGAGCAGCGGUGGAGACCUGCCACAGGGUGCUUGCUUUGCAGAAAAAAAUCAGAAAAAAAAGGCAGGCAGUCGCGUGCAUGCUCCCAGCAAGGAAAAUGAGGCAGAAAAAAAACAAAAAAAUGGCAGCUGCAUGCGCCCGCGCGAUCUGCAUGCACCGGCCAGUCUGCAUGCGUCAGGAGAAGAAGACCCACCUGCACACACCCUCCUUCCCACCCGGCCAGGCCCAGACGCAGGAGACAAGAGAUUAAAGAGGAUAAAUCGAAUCAAUAGCCAACUCCUCUCGUCGUCCUCCCCUCCAAAUCGAGGUAUACCCCAAACCCUAGCCAUCCCCAAUCCGGCCGCCGCGUCUACCGAUCCGUUAGAUUCAUGGCCGCCGCCGCUGCCGGCGACUCCGCUGUACCCAACUGGGUGAUGCUGGAGCGCUUGGUCUUCCGGAGGGACGACCCCGCCUCCUUCCGCGAGGACAGGAGGACCUUCGCUUCCGGCACCACCUCCGCCGGCACUCAAUUCGACGUCUCCUUCAUCCUCGCCGAGCCUCCCACCCCCUCGCGCCUCUACCUCUCGUGGCCGGAAGGGCCCAAGCAGGGGAGCCAGGGCCUGGUCAUGGCGGCCAACCGCAACCUCGUCCUCCUCAGGCUCGAGUACCGCGUCGACGAAUCCGUGCAAUUCGGGGAGGUAGUGCAUGAUUACUUCAUCUACAUAGCUGAUCCCUCCUCACAGCGGAAACCCCUGCUCAGACGGCUGCCCCGCUGCACCGAGUACAACGAUUAUUUUGAGAGGCAAGUUACUCGCGCGUUUCCGGUGCUGGCUGUUGGUCUGUUGUGCCAUGGCGAAGACGAGUUUGCCGUGGCGCAUCUGGCCAUCAGGUCUCGCAAAAAAAAAUCAGGGUCUCGCAAAAAAAAAAUCAUCUAUGCAAGCUGAGCUAUGCGUGCUACGCUCGUCAUUGUCCUGCAGUGAUGAUGCCAAAUGGGAGACCAAGGUCUUUCCGCUACAGUACCAAUACGAUGAUUUAUACUAUGAUUUUCUGAACUGGGAAGUGGAUGGUGUAGUUCCCUUCAAGAAUGCCUUGUGCUGGGUUAACUACUGUAGAGGCAUCCUUUUCUGCGACGGCGUCUCUGAAGACAGACCCAAGGUCUCCUACAUCCGCUUGCCUCUGGAUACUUAUUUCCAAGGGACUGAUGCCGAUGGACGCAAGGGGAUGUACCAUGGCUUGUGUGUCACUGAAGGUGGCCAUCGGUUGGUAUUUGUUGAUGUUGCCCGUCAUGAUGGAAAAUGUUAUGGCCCGAGGAUGCCCAACACUGGUUUCACCCUCACCUCCCGGACAUUGAAGAUGACAGGGAAUUGCACCAUGCCGUGGGAGUGGAAUGAGGAUGCUGUUGUCACUUCAGAUGAACUAUGGCAUGCAAACACCAUGGAGAGUCUCCCUCGUGACAUUGUGAUGCUCCCAUUGCUGAGUAUGGAUAAGGCCAAUGUUGCGCACCUUUCAUUGCUUGACUGGGACGGUGGUAGAUUCUCAUUAGUUUCCAUCGACUUGAGUAACAUGCAAGUGAUGGGCCCAGUCAUUACAUACCUCAAAGGGGAGGAUGAUACUGCUGAUGCUGACAUCGUCAAGGCAAAGCAAGGUUUAUGUGCACACUUUAUUCCAUCCGAAUUCCCCAAGUUCCUAGAUCUCAAGUAACUUCAGCGUUGCCUCCCACUUUUACUUGAGCACAAUUUUUUUUCAUGCAGCCUUUUGCUCUCUUUUUUUCAGCAAUUAAGGUUUCUGCCAUGUUAUUCUUGAAACCUUUGAGGAAUCAACAGAAUGUGCUGGUUGCUGGGAGUAAUAUGGAUCAAUGUUUUCAAAUCUUUAUGUUGAGUCUAGUCACUGGGGUACAACUAGAUGGCUAAUCGUGAUUAGGCAACGAUUAAAUUUGCGAUUAGCUCUAAGACCAGUCGAUCCACCCUUGCCUAUAGUAGAGAAUGAUAGAGUAUAACACAAAGGUGACGAACUGAUCUCUUAGUUUGAGCCCAACACAUAAUUGUUCUUUGUGGGUUCUUCAAUCUGAAAGUGCAUAAUAGCGUGCCAGCGUUGUGCUUUGUUUGCUUCACUAUUUUGAUUCUACAUGUCAAAUUAUUGAAAGGUUUUGUUCAGUUACCAACAACAUGGAUCCUUAGAAGUAGGUGGCACCCAGCGAAUCAGCAUCAUAUUGAAGAACCCCUAGGUCUUCUAAACAAACCGGCUGGAAUUGUGGAAAUCAAUUAAACUUAAUUAUAUCCAUAGUGCCUUCCUUGUAUAUCAUGUUUCAUUCUGCCAGUAGUAACCUCAGCAACUCGACGGUCUUCUGCCUGAGGUUAAUAUAGGCCCUUUUUGUAUCCGCUUAUUUCCUGCUUAUCAAUAGAAAUAAGCGAUAAGCCCACCCAAACGCCUAGCUUAUUUCCCGCUUACCUCCCAAGCCGCUUAGCCCACAAUCUGGAAAACAACUAGCGCCCCGCUUAUUCUCUACGCGGUCUUGGGGCCGCUUCUUGGGCAAGCGAAGCGCUUUUUCCUGAUACCCUCACCCGUCCGCUGGCUGCCGCCCUCCGACCGUCGCCGGCUCCGUCCGCCGCCCGCUUGCCUCCAUCGCUUCCCUGCACAAAUCCUGUCCAGAUCCCGUUGCCAUCGGUCACCAGCACUCCUGCCCAGAUCCCGUCGCCGCCGGUUCCGUUCGCUGCCCGCUGCCGGCCGACCCUACGCUUGGCCCCUGUGCUUGGCCUCCGGCCGGCCCUGCUGUUCUUUUUUGUGAAGGAGGUGGCGGAGUGCUGGCCGUCUACUGCUGAGUGUUGGCCGUGAGCAGCAUUUGAGCUCGUCGUGCGUGCUGCCGUUGUUGUUGAGAAGGAGCUAGAUAUGGGUGCAUUGCGUCAUGUUAUUGCUGUCGCUAUGGUUCGUGAUUCGUUGUUGUACUCAUGAUGGAUGUUUCCAUACUAGACCGUUCUAUCAUAUGAAUUUCAUAUUAUUGUAAUGAAAUUUCUAUUUAACAAACUCCAAAAUUAUUGGAAUUAUUAUCUUCUCCUCAGAUUCACAAUAAAAAUGAGCUAUAAAUUCGGAGUACAAGAUAAUUGGAGUCACGUACAACAAUAAGAAGCUAGCAUGCGUGUAUAUGGGCACGGAGUCCAAAUCGGCUUCAUUGGAUUGAUCGGCAAGGAGAGGCAAGGAUGAUAUAAAGGAAUGGCCAGCACGUAUGGAUAAAAAUGAUUAGAAUAUACAACAUGGAUUCUGGUGCACUUUGCAUGCCAUGCGUGGGAUGCUUCCAGAAUAAUUAUGCAUGCGGCCGAUCUGUGCAUGUACGGGAGGUUGUUUCAUAGAAUAAAAUAUUUUAGAGAUAGAGUUGGGUUAGUUAGAGAUAGAGUUUUUUAUUAGAAAAGAUUGUGUACGUGACUUGCCUUGUGCGUGGUUAGAUACCAAUUAUGUAACGUCCGCCCUAUAAAUAUAAAGGGACGUGGCCAUUGUAAAGAAUAAUCACACGAUCAAUAAACAAACAUAUUUACCUUUACCUUUCGGCUCCACGCCAUUGCCCUAGGAGUAGGAGUAAUGUAGUUUCUCGAUGAGUUCCUUCUAGCAAGUUGGGCUGCAUCGACCUCGAUCUCCGGCGAGCUGCAAGUUCUUGUCACCAGGUGUUCUAGGCUUUAACCACCGGGCGCAUCGCUGUGGUUUCGUCUAGUUUCAUCUACCAGUUAUCGAGUAUCUUGGAUCUUUGACUUAUGGCGCAUCGCUUCUGUCUCGAUCUACGGUAUUCGCCAGUUAUCCCGCCUUGAUUAAGCUUGCAUCGGCUGAUAUUUAUCUGUUCUAUCAUCUUGCCAUUUACGACAUAUUAAUUGUUAUUAAUUCUGUCGGAAUAGACGAUAGAUCUAUUUUUAAUAGCCUGUUGCAUCUUAAUCUUGGUUACCCCUUCGAGUGCUGUUGGGAUUAAGUUUCGUUAUGAUUGGAUUCAUCGGCUGGCGGGGUUCAGAUUAACAUCCUGCUAAAUAUUUCUAGACUGCAACUACCGGGCGCAUCGCUGUGGUUUCACCUGGACAUAUUAGCGGUGACGUUACUUUAGAUCUCAUCGGUUUGUGGCUCUAGCUAUGAUGGGACAACAACUCAACAUCAUCUCGUUUCCUAUCGGCCGUCUGGCUGAUGGUUAUUGUAAAUUAUAUUAAAUCGGCUGGAUGGCCGAUGAAUCACUUACAUUCAUCAAGGUACUGGAAUCGGCUUCACAGCUAAUAUAUUUAUCAUGAUUUCUUUUGUUGCACCAUUAUCGCUAUUGUGCCAGGAUUAUAUCGGCCUGAUCGGCCGGUUGCCUCAGACUUCACAAACGACUAUCAUCUCCUUGUCAGUUGAAUGGUCAAACUGACUGGCACGCUCGCGCACACCACGCGCGCCGAUUUGGAUUCUGCACUGGAGUUAAGCAGAUCUCCCAGGUCCUCAUGUGCUGAUGCAGGGUCCACUACCGUCGGGAUCUUGCGUCAACAAUCAGCCUCAGGGGCAUUCAGGUCAAUUUACCAGCCAGGACAGACAAUCGACACAAAAUAAUCAGGAUUGCCAAACACCCAGCUUAUUCAGACAGCGGAUUCUCCAGACAGCAGGCAGGCUUUUAAGAUAUGCCUGCUUGCCAGAUAAGCGAGUUCAGAAAAGCGUAUACAAACAGGACCAUAAAUGUUUCACAGCUUAUUCUGUUGCCUAACUGUUGCUUGUCACGUUGAUCCCAAAAUCGACCAUAAGCUAAGUUAUUUUUUCUUAAUGACGUCCGAGGCAUCUAAGAAUCUUUUAUAAUUCUUGUUAACCAUGGAUACUAUCAAAAUAACUUCAGCAAUGGGUGAAUCUAAGACUAUGAGAAGCCUAAAUUUCGAUUUGUACAGAUUAUCUCUGCUGAAAAAAAUUAUUGAAAUCAUCAGCAUGCGUUGUAGCUGACAAUUAUUGUUUCCUAUUUGUAUUGAUGAAGUUCUUGCUACUGUAUUGCAGGAAGAGAGAGAAUCAUCCAUAAGUCCUGUCACCAUAUCGGCUGGCCACCGUCGUCAUGUGUGUUGCUUCUUCAUUUUCCAGUUCUGUUGUGCUGGAUUCUACUGCCGACUUUGUUGAUUGGCUACUACAAUUCUGAGUUUAGUCCUCAGCUUUUGUGUGUUCCCUGCACUUGUGUACUAUAAAUAGACAGGAAAAACACCUUUACCAGGCUCAUCCGUUGAACUAUAUGAUAAUGCACUAUGGGAAACCUUAAAGUUGCUGAGUGUAAUUACUUCGCCGAGUGUAUUAUUGCGGGCACUCGGCGAAGGACCGGUUUGCCGAGUGCAAUACUCGAAACACUCGGCAAACAUAAUACACUCGGCGAAAACACUAUUUGCCGAGUGCCACCAAAAAAACACUCGGCAAACACCCACGGGGCACUCGGCAAAGAUGGAGCACUUGGCAAAGUGAUGAGCACGUGACUUCCCCGUGCCGCGACGGGCCGGCGCCGUGACGGACGUUAGGCUUUGCCGAGUGUCGACGGGGGGCACUCGGCAAAGCCACUAGUUUGCCGAGUGUCGUGAUGGAACACUCGGCAAACCUAUUACUUUGCCGAGUGUCGUCAUGGGACACUCGGCAAAGUGGCGAGUAUGCCGAGUGCUAGAGGGAACACUCGGCAUACUUUAGGGUUUGCCGAGUGUUUUUCGACACACUCGGCAAAAGUAAUUUUUUUCCCUCCUCCACCCUCCAAACUUUUUACACUCCACAUGUAUGGCAUUUGGCACUGCAUGGUAGAAGGUGGACUAUUUUUUAACCUGUUUGCUAUAUUUAAUCAAUUAAUUUUAUUUAGAGUAAUUUUUUUAUUUAAGUCAAAUUUGAACUGCAGGUGAUUGGAAUAAUGGAAUAAUAUGAGUGGAAAAAUAUAUUCAUGUUAGUGAGUCCAAAUUGAGGUCUCACCCAGAAAAUGAAAAGAAAUUUCGAACAUUUUGCUAAGGAAACACGACUACGAACGUGUGGCCAAAUGAUUGUUUAAUUCUCAAAAAUACAAACGAAGUUUGAAAAUCACGAGAUUUUGCAAGAUGCUAUCAUUUCAUAUGCAGAGGCUGUGGUAAAAAAUUAACAAGAUUUCGCACAAGUUUUGACAUAUGAUGUUUAGAAUUCGAAGCAUCUCCGGAGAGGAUUCGUAGAAGUUGGAAGGAUCCGGUAAGAUUUUGAGACGAAUCGAUACAUGUAUUUCUCAUUGAGUCCCAUUUUUUUUAUAGGCUAUAGAGAACAUAGAUUGGUUCAUGUCAAAUUUUGGGAAUUUUUCAGAUCCGUUUGGUAAUUUUUAUUCAUUAAUUGCACAAAUUUAAUAGAUAUAAAUUUAAUAUGAGCUAUAAAUCCAUGAAAUGAUGGAACAAUAUUACUUAAAAAAUGAAAUACGCAAUGUUUAGUGAAUUUGACAAGGUUUUUGCAAACUUUACAUACUUUUAAUUAAUAAAACAAGUUUGACAUGAAAUAAUAGUACCUAUUUGCCGAGUGUCAAGGGAUGGCACUCGGCAAAGAGCCUAUUUGCCGAGUGUCAACCCUGGGACACUCGGCAAAUGUCGCCGCGGUCCACCUGUCAGCCGCACUUUGAAAUCCGAAAAAAAAAAUUAAAAAAAAAAUUGUUUCCCGAGUGCUCCUGAUCUAGCACUCGGCAAAGGCUUUGCCGAGUGCUAGAUCAGGAGCACUCGGCAAAGCGAGUGGCCUAACCACUCUUAGCGCAUCACGCGCCUCACGUGGACAGGCACAGGCACAACACGAACACGCACACGCCCGCGCCCGCCCGGCCCCCCACGCCCGCUCCGCCCGCCUGCGCCCGCUCCGCCGCCGCCCAGCCUCCCGCGCCCGCUCCGCCGCCGCCCAGCCCCCCGCGCCCGCUCCGCCGCCCCGCACCGCCCGGCCGCGCCGCCGCCGCCGCCCCGCGCCGGGAUCCGGGUGCCGGCCGCCGGCCCCCCGGCCUCCCCCGCCCCGCCGCCGGCCGUCCGCGCACGGGCGCGCCCGCCCCCGGCCGCCCGCGCCGGCCCCCCGCGUCCGCUUCGGCCGGCCGCGGCCGCCCCCGUCCGGCCGCCGCACCGUCCCCCGGCCGCCCCUGCUCCUCUAUUCGUGGCCGUCGCCCCUCCGUCACCCCUCCGGUAAGUUUCUAUGCCACUACACAUCAUAAAUUAGAGUAGGCAUGAAAUUAGAAAUUAGAAAUUAAAUGUUGAAAAUACUAGAGAGGUGGUAGGAUGUGGUAGCAUUUAUUUUAGAAAUUAGAGGCAUGGAUUUAGAAAAUUCGAGAAGAAGGAAGAGUGGAAAUCAGAAAAUGUUGAAAAGAAUAGAGGUGUGGUUGGUUGUGGUUGUGGUUGUUGGCCAUCGUGCCAACUCUUUGGUGAGAUUGUGGUUGUCGGCUAUCGUGCCGUUUAUUAUGUUGCAGGUUUUGGAAACCUCCCCGUGCAGGGGAGUUGCUGCCGAAAUUUUGACUUAAACAGUGCUUUGUUUCUUUUGUUGCAGGAGAGGCUUACAAGGACCGUCCUCGACUCGUCACUUUGCAGGAUAGCAAGGUGAGGCAUGCUACACCUCUCUUUCCGUAUAAUGUUCGCAUAUCACGUAACCUAGUUAGGCGUCUCCCGUUCGAAAGAGAUACGGUUGCAAAUAUGCAGAUUUUUGCAUAUCUAUAAUCGUAUCUGUUUCGAAUUGUCCACGUUUUUUGGACAGCCCGAGGAUGUGUAGGUGGGUUUAGUAUCCAUGAUCUAUUUCGGUCCGAGAUAGAGUUUCGGCAGCACCUCCCUGUUGUUCUCCAGAUACACAAUCUCCUAUCAAGGACGUGUAUUUGGAGAAUAGCGGGGAGGUGCUGCUGAAAUUUUAUCUCGGGUCGGAGUAGACCAUGGAUACUAAACCCACCUACACAUCCUCGGGUGGGAUUAGGACCUAUCUUUACCUAGUAGACAAUAUAGGAACGUGUAUAUGCAAUGUGAAUUUUGUAUUACUCAUUUAAAUGGUAGAGGAUGGAGGAUCGUCAGUGGAUGUACACGGGUCGCACUAGUCAGAAUACGUUGACCAAUGAAUGGCUUGACAAGACGGAUGCUUUCUUGGAACGGGCGUUUGCAAGUGUCAAUGGAGCUCGAUCGACUUGGUGUCCGUGCAGCAAAUAUGGAAACAUGCGUCGGCAAACCAAGCUAAACAUGGGCAAACAUCUGGUGAAGAACGGAUUUACGUCAGACUACACCAGGUGGAUCUACCAUGGUGAAUCUGACCGUGGGAGAGAGGAGGUCUUGAGACAACGCAUCGAGGAAUUUGAUGAUGAUGCCGGGGUGGGAGACAUGUUAAAUGACUAUCAUGAAGCACACUUCGAAGAGGCACGUAGGGAGGAGGAGCCAGAGGCUACCGCUAAGGCUUAUUACGAAAUGUUUUCUGCGGCACAGCAACCCCUUCACGGCCAUACCAAGGUUUCUCAGCUAGAUGCCAUUGCACGCCUAAUGGCUGUGAAGUCUCAGUUUAGUUUGAGUCGAGACGCGUUUGAUAUUAUGUUGACAGUUUUUGGAAGCCUACUCCUGGUUGGUCACAUCUUGCCAAAGAGCAUGUAUGAGGCACAGAAACUCCUUCGUGCACUUAAGAUGCCAUACGAGCAUAUACAUGCUUGCUCGAAGGGAUGCAUCUUAUUUAGGAAAGAGUAUGCGGAAGCAAAAUACUGUGUGAAGUGCGAAUCGUCUAGGUUUCUGGAGGUUGACUGUGGUGACAGUCAGAAAAAGCAGCUCGCAAUUCCUGUGAAGGUUCUACGGUAUCUUCCUUUCAUACCGAGGAUCCAACGGCUUUUCAUGACUAAAGAAUCCGCGAAACAGAUGACAUGGCACAAAAAUGGCCGUCGCUAUAAUCCUGAGAAGCUGGUACACCCAUCCGAUGGUGAAGCCUGGAGAAGCUUUGAUGCGAUUUAUCCUGCAAAAGCUCUAGAGGCCCGUAACGUACGCGUUGCGUUGGCAACUGAUGGGUUCAAUCCUUAUGGAAUGGCGGCCGCCCCGUACACCUGUUGACCCAUUUUCGUUAUCCCCCUGAAUCUCCCACCCGGCGUCCUAUUUCAAUGACAUAAUAUAUUCUUGUCGUUGAUAAUUCCAGAGCAUCCGGGGAAUAAUAUGAGUGUGUAUAUGGAGCCUCUGAUUGAUGAUUUGCUCCGUGCUUGGGAGGAAGGGGUAUGGACCUAUGACCGAUCCACAAAGACAAACUUCAAGAUGCAUGUUUGGUACCAGUACUCACUGCAUGACUUGCCGGCAUAUGGGAUUUUCUCCGGAUGGUGUGUUCACGGGAAGUUCCCAUGCCCAGUAUGUAAAGCAUCUUUGAAGUUCAUUUGGUUGUCGAAAGGUGGCAAAUAUUUUUCGUUCGACAAACAUCGACAAUUCCUCCCUCCUGACCAUCCAUUUAGAUGAGACAUCAAAAACUUUACCAAAGAUGUUGUAGUUACAGCCCCCGCACCGCCGAUGAUGACAGGGGCCGCAGUUCGUGCUCAGUUAGACGCUCUUGAGGUCAAUAAUGAAGAAGGUGGUUUUUUGGGAUAUGGCGAGCAACAUGCUUGGACGCAGAAGUCGUGCUUGUGGAAGCUUCCCUAUUUUGAUGAUCUCCUUGUUCCACAUAACAUUGAUGUAAUGCACACGGAAAAAAAUAUCGUCGAGGUAAUUUUUGGUACAAUAAUGGACAUUCCUGACAAGACAAAGGAUAACGUUAAGGCUAGAGUGGAUCAAGCGACAUUGUGCAACAGACCACAGCUAAACAUGGCGCCUCCAAGAGCUGGCAAGUCGUGGAGGAAGCCUAAGGCCGAUUUCGUUCUAACGAGGGCCCAAAGGAGGGAGGUUCUAGAAUGGUUCCAAACAUUAAUGUCCCUGAUGGCUAUGCAGCGAACUUGAAGAGGGGAGUGAAUUUAGCAACUAUACGAAUCAACGGGCUCAAGAGUCAUGAUUACCAUAUAUGGCUUGAGCGCCUACUUCCGGUGAUGGUUCGAGGCUAUGUCCCUGAGCAUGUGUGGCAGGUGCUAGCGGAGUUGAGCAAUUUCUUCCGCCGACUUUGUGCGAAGGAGUUAUCUCAUACCGUGGUUGCAGAAAUGGAAACAAUGGCGCCUGUGUUGCUCUCUAAGUUGGAGAAGAUCUUUCCUCCAGGCUUCUUCAAUCCAAUGCAGCAUAUGAUUCUACACCUCCCGUAUGAAGCACGAAUGGGGGGCCUGUGCAGGGUCGUUGGUGCUACUCAAUUGAGAGAUGUCAAAAGGUUCUUCGAACUAAAUGUAAGAAUAAGUGCAGAAUUGAAGCAUCCAUUGCAGAGGCAUACAUUCUGGAGGAGGUGUCAAACUUCACAUCGAAAUACUACGCUGACAACCUUCCUAGCGUGCAUAAUCCACCUCCUCGUUACAAUGCCAGCGAAGAUGAAUUAAGCUUUAGCAUUUUUCGAGGGCAACUCAGAAGUGCAAGUGGUGCGACCCGCAAGACCCUUAACCAUGAAGAGUGGCGCUCUAUCAUGCUGUAUGUGUUGACCAACCUAUAUGAAGUGGAGCCGUACAUGAUGUAAGUCAUCGACAAACUUGUUUCGAUGUAGUCAUGGUAUCUCUUGCCUAAACGUAUCUUUCUCGUUGCUAUAGGCAAUUUCAUCGUCAAUUCUGGCGUAAAUCAAGGCAACCGUACUCGCAUGAAGCUGAGACUCUUCUUAAAGAGGGUGCGGGAAAUGGAAUGCCCGAUUUCAUUUCUUGGUUCAAACAGAAGGUACAAUUUCAUUUCUUUGAACAUUCUCGUUCUCGUACAUACGAUUAAUAUAACAAACCGCCCUGUUUGAACUUGCAGGGCCGAACCGAUGCGUCUAUGAAUGUCGAGUUGAGACAGGUUGCCGGUGGCUGUGACUAUAGGGUCAGGUCGUUUGCCGGUUAUGACGUCAACGGAUAUAGGUUUCACACAACAAGGCACGAGCAGAGUCGGCCCAAUCGAAGAACCACAAAUACCGGAGUUUUCACGCCAGGCUCCGAUGGGGUCGAGUACUACGGAAGAAUUGAAGAAAUAUACAAACUCACUUUUCAUGGGUGCAAACCUCUUAAUCCAGUUAUAUUCAAAUGCCAUUGGUUUGAUCCAUCUGUCGUGAGACGGGCCCCUAACCUUGGGCUAGUCGAAAUUCGACAGUCAUCCAGGUUACCAGGAGACGAUGUCUAUAUUGUGGCUCAACAAGCCACGCAAGUUUAUUAUUUGUCAUACCCGUGCCAAACCGACAGCCGUCUUAAGGGUUGGGAUGUUGUGUACAAGGUAUCGCCACACGGUAAACUACCUGUACCAAACAAUGAAGAUUACAAUAUAGACCCCGACACGUACGAAGGAGAGUUAUUCCAAGAAGAUGGGCUCGAAGGGAGUUUUGUGAUAGAUUUAACCGAAGCGAUCGGAAUGGAAGUAGACAAUGAGAGGGUUGCUGCAGAGGACGGUGGAGACGAGGUUCAGAAUGUGAAGGACUUAGAAUUACUUCAAUGAUUACAGUUAGCUAAUGACAGUGAUGACGACAUUCCUUCUUCGGAGCACGAGCUUGACUAUAUCGACACGCGUGAUAGUGAUGAUGAGACUUAUGAUCCAGCUAAUCCCGAUCAUGAUGAUUAUUUCUAAUAUAUGUAUGAUUCGUACUAAUUUAGUUAUAAUUUAAUUAUAAUUUGCAUAUCUUUGUAAUUAUGUUUUGUUUACCUAUGCUGACUCGUGUACUCUUUUUAAUUGUAGGUCAUUAAGCAAUGGUGGGCGGUAUGAGGAAGCUCACGUCAAUUUGCGAGAGACUGGCCACGGCAGGGACUGGUUCAGGGUCAGGGUCACGUUCAGGGAGCGGUCGAGGGAGGCGUUAAGGCAGGCCUCGACGUAGGGUUGAGGAGGAGGAGGAGGAGGAGGUGGUGGUGGUCCAGAGGCCUCGAGGGAAGGGUAAAGCGGCGAGGCCCCCGUCGCCUGAACCUGAGGUGGAGGAGGAGGAGGAGGAGGAGGAGGAGGUACCUUCCGCACACGCCUCUGCGGACGAGGAGGCGGAGGAGGAGGAGCAGCAGGAGCAGGAGGGGGACGGGGAGGCAGGGGAUGCCCAGUCCAAGAUAUGGUUGCGAGGUCCCUCAUCCCUUCCGAAGCGGCCGAUACCUGAGCAUUUACGCCCGCUGAUUAAACCGGUUGGGACCAAGUAAGUAACUUUAAAUAUUCUUAAUAUUGUUAUUAUGUUGAAAGUUACAAAAACUAAUAAUUCAUAUUAAUGACUUGUGCAGGAGUUGGAUUAAGCUCAGUGGGGGUGACCACAACCGUAAGGCCAACGAGAUCCUUGGCCUUUUGUGCAGGGUUCACUUCCCUGGCUUGGUGGUGUACGCCGGACAGCUGCAGCCGGCCUACACGUGGGACCACUACGUCGCCGCCCCCGACGUCCCUGAUCGUCAACAGAGAAGAUUCCCCAACAAAGCGGAGCGGGUCAAGGCCGAGCUGUGGGUAAGUACUCCUCGUACUAAAUUGCUCAAUACAUCACCUACUUUCGACAUUCUUGAAAUAAUAACUGUAUACGCAUGUAUAUGCAGGACUUCUAUAGAUGCCCGGAGGGGUUCGAGGCCAAGGCGAAGGCCGUCUGUGAUGUAGCCGCCAAGAAGCUCGUGAAGGACAUGCAUUACGAGGCGCGCAUCCAGGCCAUCAUCGAAUUCCACGCUCAAUACAGACAGAUGAAGGUUAGAAAAGAGGAGGCAAGAACAAUGAACAUGACUAAGGACCAAUUCAUGAGGGUAAGUAAAGAACGUUGAUGUUUACUAUUUAUGAUUAAUUAGGCUCAUUUUCUUGUUCAUAUGUCACACGCUUGAUGAUGUAGGUGCCUCCGUGGUGGUGUCGUGCGCAUAUGCCGUGCUGGGAGAGGAUGGUCGACGUGUGGUUGGAGCCCGGGUGGUUGGAGAACCACCUUGCUUGCUGGCAGCGGCGUUUGCAGAUGCCGACUGCACCACACCAUCAAGGCAGCCUAAGCCUUGAUGAAUAUAGAGAAAAAUGGGUACGCAACUUCAAUUCUUUAUUGUAACGUUCAGUUCUACGUAAUUUUUAAUGAUUUUGUAUUUUGCCGCAGUCGGCGUCACAUGAUGGCCGACCAUGCUCCCAGCUCAAGGCAUGGGUCCUCUCCAAAAAGGGCAAGGCGACGGUCGAUAUAGAUUUCAACCCAGACGACCCGUCCGAGGCGUACAGCCACCCUAGCAUACACAACCGCAUCAGCGAGUAUACAAAGAUGGCUAGGGAGGUUCACGGGCCAGACUUCGAUCCGAGCUCCGAGGACAUUGAUGGAGAAAUCGUGAUGAGGGUGGGAGGAGGCAAGAAGCAUGGCCGAUAUUGGAUUGGCGACGGCGUCAUCGACACGGCCUCUACUCCCACUCUCUCCCAGAUCCGAGCUAGGAGCACGGACUCGAGCCUGGCGAUACGGCCAUGACCCACCGCUGCACAGUUCCAGAUGGAGGCUCUACAGGUUCUUUCUCUUCCAUUCAUCGUUCAUUUGUUGUUAUACUUUAGCUUUGCAUUAUAACAUUGCAAUGAAAAAUUGUAGGCCCAGGUGGAAGAAUCAAGGAAGAAACAAGAGGAGAUGGCGGCGCAGAUGGAGGCGCAGAUGGAGGAAAUGCGGCGGAGGAUGGAGGAGGAAAACCGGAUUAGGAUGGAGCAGAUGUUCCAGUACAUGCAGAACUUUGCUUCAAGCAUGGGACAGUCUUUGCCUCCGCCACCGCCGAUGAUGUUCCCUCCGCCUCAGCCACCCACGACUACUCCUGUGAGUCACUUGACACAUUGUGCUUAAGAUUUAAUACUUUAAAUUUGACAACUUUAGAUGUUAGCUCAGAAUAUCCUAUCCUAUGUGCAUAAUCAAUCGGCGGCUUCGAAUAAUGAAGAUCAAGAUUUGUCGCAGUGGUCUCCUUGGCCUCCACGGAAGUAGACUUGGUUGUGAACAAUGUGGAAACUAAAUUGUGACAAGAACUUGGAUUUAUGGAUUAUUUCGUGCUGAUGUUGAAUUAUGCCUGUGGUGUUUAUGAAUUAUGCCUGUGGUUGUGAAUUAUGCAUGUGAUUGUUUAUUACAAAUGCCUGUGAUAUGUGUAUUGUGAAUUGAGAGGGGUCCGUUAUACGUGACAAAAUGUUGAAAAAGGGGGGGUUCUGGUCACUUUGCCGAGUGUAACACUCGGCAAAGAGGGGCCUUUGCCGAGUGUUUUGGCUUUAACACUCGGCAAAGAGGCAUUUCCCAGGUGUAGGAAAGCUUGUUUGCCGAGUGCUAGGGACAAGGCACUCGACAAACAAGGGGUCUUUGCCGAGUGCCAGGCGCGAGGCACUCGGCAAAGGCCCUAAUUCCCAGCUACCUGGGCAGGGUUGUUUGCCGAGUGCCCACCCUAACACUCGGCAAAGGGCCCGUCUUUGCCGAGUUCCCGGGACACGGCACUCGGCAAAAAAGCCGGCUUUGCCGAGUGCCCACUCCGUGACACUCGGCAAAGACCCGGUGUUUGCCGAGUGCCUCCCGUCUGGCACUCGGCAAACCCGCCGUUAACCCCGACGCCGUCAGCGCGUAUUUCACCGAGUACAUCUUUUCGCCGAGUGUUUUUUGGCCGUCGGCAAAAUGUUUGCCGAGUGCUCGCGUUUUGACACUCGGCAAACUAGUCUUUGCCGACACAAAAUUUGCCGUGUGCUCUUUGCCGAGUGUUACACUCGGCAAAGCCUUUGCCGAGUGUUUUUGGGCUUUCGCCGAGUGCCUCUGGCACUCGGCAAAGCUUCUGUUUCCCGUAGUGAUGCUAGAUGAUGUGUCCAUGCCUUGCUAACGUCUUCUACAUGCCAUGCGAGUUAAAAAUCCUGCAAUCAUGUUUCGUGGUAGCAGUUUACCUUUGCACAAUGAAACUCCUCACUAAAAACACAGGUCAAUUUGAGGGACUAUUGUGUUAUUUUUACAGGGAUCUAAUGCCAUCAAUCAAAUUGUAAAAUACAGACAGGUGCGCGUGGAAUGGACACUUGUGUUCAUUCAGAUUUUUGUGAUAUUUCAUACCUAAUGAUUACCAGGUUGUCACGCCCCUACAUGCAAAAUUGGUCUACGAGAUGGGAUAUGAGCUCAAAAUGACGUGAGAGCUGUAUUAUCAUGUAGCUCAUGACCUGGCAGAAGUGAAUAGUUGCACGAAAUACAACAUUGCAAACAAGAUUUUAUUCAUUCUCUCUGCCGAUGGCACACGGUAGCAGAAGCAGUGCCACCAAUUGGUGAAAGAUUUUCAGUAAACUGAGUGUUUGACAGAACAAUAUGAUGCCACCAAAGCAAUCUGCAUGAGUUCUCUACCUCCGGAAGUCCAGAUGCUUGCUCUGUUUCAUUGCUGUAGCUCAUGGCAACUCUGGCAGCACCAUGGUCAUUUGCUGCACCAUUUUUCAGAAUAUGUAAAAUUCAAGUCAUACCAUGCAGUUGAUGGAGAUAAAGAUAUGCUCCAAAUGAAAUGAUUAAAAAAACAAUCAUAUUUAUUCUCCAGGCACCAAUGGAACUCAUUCCCGAUGUCACUUGUCUCUGCCUGUGCCUACAUCGAGGAAGUAGCAUGCGAAUGAGAAAGACGAAGAUAAGUACCAAGAGGUAAAUGUAUUCACUUGUCUCUGCAUGUGCCUACAUCGAGGAAGUAGCAUGCGAAUGAGAAAGACGAAGAUAAGUACCAAGAGGUAAAUACAUUCUUGAGAUAAAUAGAUAAAUAAAACCAAGGACCAGCCCGUGAAAAUAAGUACUCCGUUUAAGAUACUAUAUGCACAAUAAUCUUUACUCGUACAUAUUUUCUGUACAGCCAUGUACAAAGUUCAGCUCACUGUCAAGAGGUACACCAUACGACUGCAAGCUCAAAGAAUAGAAGAUUAUUACACACCACCCAAACUCUACCUUUUGUACAUCAGGUGCUCGAGAAACAUACAUUGGACGAGUAGAAUAAAAGUUAUAAAUCAUAUCAACAAUCCCAGUUAAAUACGGUGUUUCCGAAACAACCAACCGUUCUUGGGCGUAAUCUUCCUGACACUAUCCUGGAGAAACUGGAGCGUGCCUGGAGACAUGUGAGCCCUGUCCAUUGUGUUAACCUUCGCCGCCUUUCGAGGGGACAAGGCACACUGCAUUGCCCAGAUUGCAAGGGGGCGCAUGUAUAUCAAUGACCUAUAGUGGCCAUCCACUGUCCAUGCUUCUGGAGUUUGAAACCAGUACCUGAAUUUGUCAAGGAAAUUGAUUAUUAAUUAUUAGCAUAAAUUGGUCCAAUAAUGUGACUCCAUUUCUGUUACGAAACAAAUCGAUGAAUGCGCUGAAUCCAAGAUAGUGCGAUCAUAAAAGAACUAUAUCCAUUGCCAGUAACAAUAAAUAAUCUUAGCAGUCUUAAGCAGCAUUAACUUCGCAUACUGCAGGAAAAUGUACAGUAAUAUCUAAACCCUUUAUGACUUUAUCUCAUACUAUUACUUAACCAUUGUCAUCUCAAAGGACGAACUAGUAUAUGAGAACUACUCACAUUAUGAGAACUACUCACAUUACUAUGCAUAUCAUGUACUGGGAAAAUGAUGCUAGGACUGCCAGUGGCGGGCGCAGGAUUUGGACUAUGGGUAUUCAAAAUUGAAGAUGGCAAGAAAAAAAAAUGACAGACUAAAUUAUAGUUUUAUAACACAUAAUAAUUAAGUGGUAGCAGCAUCAUUGAUUAAUAAAAAUUAUCAGAAAUUGAAAUUGUCCAGCUACUAAUGAUCAACAUAUCAAAGUGGCAACAUGUGAAAUAAAUAGAGGCUAAAACAAUAAAAUGGUAACAAAGAUUACAACUUACAAGCUAUAGGACAACUUUCCGUUCUGCAAUGCUUUGAAAAUGAGCGAUGAUGUCUUUAUCUUUAGCUUGCAUGAAGAAUUCCCUUUCAAUCAAUGUGACCAAGCAACCAUUCAAAUAUUUCUGCCCCAUCUUACUCAAAUCAGUAGCGGCACUACCCUUCCUCUUCAUGGUUCAAACCUAAAAGUUACACAAUUUCAACUUAUCAGAUAUUUACAAUUUCACAUUGAACUAAAUUCGUGAGCAUCCACAUUUUGCAAGUUGAUGUGCUAUUCCAAUCUGACAAACAAUUGAAAAUGAUUACCUCAAUUUCACCAACAAUCAGCAGUUUGGGGGCAGACCGAUAGUACUGUCGCGGUGUCGCCGCGUGCUCGUCGUGUCGCCCAGUAGGUCGCCGCGUGCUCUCCGGGUUGAACGGCGGCGCCGCCGCCUGCUCGUCGGCCCGCCGCGGAGCCGCUGCCUGCUCGCCGGCCGCCGGCCCGCCGCGGAGCCGCCGGCCCGGCCGGCCGGCCGCCGCUCUGGGGUCCCUGCCUCACUGCCUGCGUGCGCCGUGCGCCGUGCGGGCUGCAGGCGCCACCUGCGCGCCAGGCGCCGAGCAGGCCGGCGCCGCCAAGGCGCACCGCGCACCGCGCUGGGCGCUGGCCGCCCGCGGCCCGCCUGGCGCCUGCCGCCGACCAGGCAGGCAGGCACGCGCCUCCGCCGGUCCACCCCCCAGCCACCUCCGGCUCGCCACUCGCCGGCCGCCGUGGAUCCGCCUGCCGCCGGCCCGCCGCUCCGGCUCCGUGCGCCUCUGCUCGCCGCUCGGCGCCAACACGCGCCGGCCGCACUGCCGCAGGCCGCCCGCCGGCCGCCGCCCUCCUAGCGGCUAGCCCGCCAGCGCCAGCCGCGGCCUACCACCGUCCGCCGGGCGCCGCCACCGCCGGUCCGCCGCCGCCGCCGCCGCCGCCGCCGCCGCUACUCGCUAGGGCCUAGGGUUUGCGCGCCUGGAGACUCCUGGAGCCGUGCGCGUGAAUGUGCUUCGGUGGGGGUGGGCUGGUGGCCGGUGGGGGACUGGGGGCGUGGGCAGGCCGGAUGGGCCGGAUGGGCCAGUUGGGCCAGUUGAGGGAGAGCGAAGUUGGCCUCCGGUGGGCCUUUUCGAGUGAAAUGUGUAUGCUAGCUUUUGUAUUUUUGUUUUUUUCAUACAUACACCUAAAAUACACUAUAUAUAUGAAAUUUUUUUGCAAAAAUAAUGGGUAUUCAAUUGAAUACCCUUGAAUCAAAGUGGGCCCGCCCCUGCCUCUCAGCAUAGUCAUCAUGUCCAAGGCUGCGGGCCAGUGCGGCUGCAGCUUGCAGUGCAGUUCGAAGGCAAAGGCAACCAGUACGCACUUACUCCUUGAACUAUCCAAGCAUCAUAAGUUUGAUAAGGAAAUCCAUAAUUUUCAAUCAUACCAUUGUUGCGAUACGAGGUAGGCUACACUAGCGUAAAUCAAAAUUUCUACCGCGUAUAACCAGGAAGAACUGCCGUAUAAGGAUCACGGGAUUACCACUCGACGCACUACUGGUGCGGAAGAUGUAGAUAUGCGUCGAUGCAGUGAAGACGAUCACGUAGUUGUACGUAGUCGAUCAAUGUAGUCGUACGUAGUCGAUCACGUCCAGCAGCUCCUCAGCAGCUCGUCCACGUGCACAGCAAGAUCGCCUCCGGUACCGCGGCUCGUCGUCGGCUCGUCAUGGCACGUCGGCGGCUCGUCGGCGGCUCGUCCAAGUGCUGCAGGCGCAACACCUCCAAGGUAUCCACACGUGCAGGGAGGAAGCGUCGCAAGCCGGAUUGCUAGAUCCGCGUGUUGCAGCAGGCGAGGGCGUGGGAGGCGCGGCAGGUGUGUUUCGCCAAAAGGUGUAAACCCUAGGGCACCCCCACCCCUCUAUUUAUAGAGGUUCCUGAUGGGCCUCUGGAUCCGAGGCCCAUUAGUACUCCUAAACCUAAUCCAACUCGGAUCAGAUCCGAAUUGGGCUUCCAGCCCCUUAAGUGUGUGACCCUAUGGGUUCGAAUUCGUAUAGACAUGGCCCGAGUACUCCUACUCGGCCCAAUAGUCGGUAGCGGCCUCUAGCAAGACGUGCCAACUCCUAUACGCAUACGAAGAUCAUAUCAGACGAACCAUCACAACAUAAUAUACAUGCUAUUCCCUUUGCCUCACGAUAUUUGGUCUAGCUUCAAGCCGACCGCUCUUUCUCGAUCCUGUGAUUCGGAAUCCCUUUGUAGGUUAACUCUUAACCGUACGUAGCAUGGCCAUGCAUUUUUCGGAUCCGGUCACUCGAGGGGCCCAGAGAUAUCACUCUCAAUCAGAGAGGGGCAAAUCCCUUCUUGAUUUGACCAUGUCUCAUAGCAUGCUUCUUGACAAACCCGAAAGCUACCUUUAUAACUACCCUGUUACGGCGUAGCGUUUGAUAGCCCCUAAGUAGGUCGAUCCACAUCUAGAAUACAUGCGACAAUCUCAGGUCUAAGGACAAAGCGUAUAUGUUGUUUAAAGAGAGAACUACUUCUCGUGUUGGGUCAGUCCUAACACAUGUCUCCACAUGUGUCCACAUUAUUAGUUCAACAUCUCCAUGUCCAUGACUUGUGAAACAUAGUCAUCAACUAAUACAUGUGCUAGUCUAAUAUUCAUGUGUGUCAUCACAUGAACUCCGACUAGGGACAACUUUAGAAUAACCAUACAAGUAAAGAGUUUCACAUACAAUUCACAUAAUUGCAAAUCAAUUCAAGUAGCCUUUAAUGGAUAUUCAAUGAACACAAUAUACAAAUCAUGGAUACAAAUGGAAUAUCAUCAUCUCUAUGAUUGCCUCUAGGGCAUACCUCCAACAGUCUCCCACUUGCACUAGAGUCAAUCUAGAAGGUACCUAAUACCCAUAGCUCUUACAUGCGCAUCAUGCUUAGCCUGCGGGAGUGGUUUUGUCAACGGAUCAGAAAUGUUCAGAUCCGUGUGUAUUUUGCAUAUCUUGAUCUCACCCCGGUUAACGAAGUCUCGAAUGAGAUGAAAUCGCCGCAUUACGUGUUUGUUCUUCUGGUGGUUCCUUGGCUCCUUUGCUUGCACAAUAGCCCCAUUGUUAUCACAGUAGAGAUUCAAUGGGUUGGACGCAUUCGGGAACACACCAAGCUCAAUGAGGAAAUUCCUUAUCCAAACACCUUCCUUCGCGGCUUCCGAAGCUGCGAUGUACUCGGCUUCUGUCGUAGAAUCGGCCACCGUCUCCUGCUUGGAACUCUUCCAACUAACAGCACCACCAUUUAGCGUGAACACAAAUCCUGAUUGUGACUUUGAAUCAUCUCUGUCGGUUUGGAAACUAGCAUCGGUGUAACCUGUUACAACGAGCUCUUCCUGACCUCCAUAGACGAGGAACAUAUCUUUAGUCCUUCUCAAGUACUUAAGAAUGUUUUUCACUGCUGUCCAGUGACUCUCACCUGGAUCAGAUUGGUGUCUGCUUGUCAUACUUAGCGCAUAUGAAACAUCUGGGCGAGUACUUAUCAUUGCAUACAUGAUAGAUCCAAUAGCCGAGGCAUAUGGCACUCUACUCAUGCGAUCCCGCUCAUCAGCAGUCGAAGGACACUGAGUCUUGCUGAGAUGUAUGCCAUGUGACAUAGGCAAGAACCCUUUCUUUGCCUCUUCCAUGCUGAACCGCUUCAACACUUUGUCAAUAUAAGUAUCUUGGCUCAGACCUAUAAGCCUUCUCAAUCUAUCUCUAUAGAUCUUAAUGCCCAGAAUAUAUGCCGCUUCCCCUAAGUCCUUCAUCGAAAAACUAUUUUUCAGUGAAGUCUUUACGGACUCAAGCAUAGGAAUGUUAUUUCCAAUCAGUAAUAUGUCAUCCACAUAUAAGAUUAGAAAUACUACAGAGCUCCCACUAACCUUCUUGUAAACACAAGACUCUUCUUCGUUCUUGGUGAAGUCAAACCCUUUGACCACUUCAUCAAAACGAAUGUUCCAACUCCUAGAUGCUUGCUUCAAUCCAUAAAUGGAUCUCUGAAGCUUGCAUACCUUUCCAGCAUUUUUCGGAUCGACAAAACCCUCGGGCUGUAUCAUAUACACGUCCUCAGCUAGGUUUCCAUUCAGGAAAGUUGUCUUGACAUCCAUCUGCCAUAUCUCAUAAUCGAAAUAUGCAGCUAUAGCUAGAAUAAUCCGAAUGGACUUAAGCAUCACUACGGGCGAGAAGGUCUCGUCGUAGUCAACUCCUUGAACUUGUCGAAAACCUUUUGCGAUAAGUCGUGCUUUAUAGAUGUGAACAUUUCCAUCCAUGUCCUUUUUCUUCUUAUAGAUUCACUUGCACUCUAUGGCUUUAACACCAUCAGGCGGGUCAACCAAGUUCCAAACUUGAUUGUCUCCCAUGGACUCUAUUUCGGAUUGCAUGGCACUCUGCCAUUUUUCGGAGUCUGGGUCCAUCAUUGCUUCUGCAUAUGUCGCAGGCUCAUCAUUGUCUAACAAUAAUAUUUCUCGCAUUUCGCGGAGCCUUGCUGACCUUCGUGGUUGUGGCGGUGCUUCUCUUGCCAUGGGUAUCUCAACUUGUUCUGCUACUUUAGCAUCACUCAUUGAUUCUUGCCCGAUCGGCUCAUCUUGAACUUCUUCAAGAUGCACUGUCUUUCCACUCUUUUCUCCUUUGAAAAACUCUUUCUCUAGGAAAACCCCGUUCCGAGCGACAAACACUUUGCCUUCUGAUCGGUUGUAGAAAUAAUAUCCCAAAGUUUCCUUUGGAUAUCCCACGAAAAUGCACUUAUCCGACUUGGGUGUGAUCUUGUUCGACUGAAGUCGCUUGACAAACACUUCACAUCUCCAAAUCUUUAGAAAAGACAAACUAGGAACCUUUCCAGUCCAUAUCUCAUAUGGUGUCUUAACUACGGAUUUAGAUGGUACCCUAUUUAGUGUGAAAGCUGCUGUUUCUAGAGCGUAUCUCCAAAAUGACAACGGUAGGUCUGACUGGCUCAUCAUUGAUCAAACCAUGUCUAACAAAGUUCGAUUACGUCGCUCGGACACACCGUUUCUCUGAGGUGUUCCAGGCGGCGUCAGUUGUGGAACAAUUCCACAACUCUUUAGAUGAUUGCUAAACUCGUGGCUCAAAUACUCGCCUCCACGAUCAGAUCGUAAGGCCUUAAUUUUCUUGCCACGCUGAUUUUCAACUUCAUUCUGAAAUUCCUUGAACUUUUCAAAGGUCUCAGACUUGUGCCUCAUCAAGUAGACAUAGCCAUAUCUACUAAAAUCAUCAGUGAAAGUUAUGAAGUAUUGGAAUCCUCCUCUAGCCGUCGUGCUCAUUGGUCCGCAUACAUCACUAUGUACGAGUUCCAACAAGUCUACUGCUCUCUCAGGAAAUCCUGUGAAAGGCGUCUUGGUCAUCUUGCCUAGCAAGCAAGCCUCACAUGUCUCGUAUGAUUCAAAAUCAAACGAAGUUAGAAGUCCAUCAGAAUGGAGCUUCUUCAUGCGCUUUUCACUUAUAUGACCCAAACGACAAUGCCAUAAGUAGGUAGGACUCAAAUCAUUAGGCCGAGGCCUUUUAGCACUUACAUUACAGACAGGUGAACCAUCAAGAUUUAAAACAAACAAUCCAUUCACAAUGGGUGCAAAAGCCAUAAACACAUUAUUCUUAGAGAUCACACAGCCAUUGUUUUCACUCGCAAAUGAAUAACCAUCCUCCAUCAAGCAUGAAGGAGAUAAAAUAUUUCGACUUAAACUAGGAACAAAAUAACAAUUAUUCAACUCCAUAAUAAAUCCUGACGGGAGGUGGAGUUGCAUCGUCCCGACGGUCAAAGCAGCAACUCUUACAUUAUUGCCCACGCGGAAAUUAACUUCUCCUCUUUCCACGCUUCUACUUCUUAUCAUUCCCUGCAUCGAAUUGCAAAAAUGAGCAACCGAUCCGGUAUCAAAUACCCAAGAAUUAAUAAUUGUAUCAGCGAGAAAUAUGUUGUCUAUAACAUUAACAACAAGCGUACCUGAGGUAGAAGUACUCUUACUUCCACCGUUCUUCAAGGAAGCUAGGUACUGCUUGCAGUUUCUCUUCCAGUGACCAAGUUCAUGACAGUAAAAGCACUCUUUGUCUGGAGCAGGUUCAGGUCCAGCUUUAACCUUGGGCGGUGGGUUUGGCUUGGACGUUCCAGCCUUGCCCUUCUUCUUCCAAGAAUUGCCCUUCUUCUUAAAGCUGGGCUUGUUCUGUAUCGCCAUCACAUGGCUGGUACUAGCGCUUUUCUUGAUGUCAGCCUCUGCUGUCUUGAGCAUACCACACAGUUCAUUCAAACCCUUCUCCGUUCCAUGCAUAUGGUAGUUCGAGAUGAAGUUCCCAUAGUUAGGUGGAAGAGAUGAAAGAAUGAAAUCAGUGGCCAACUCUUGGCCCAGUGGGAAGCCUAGCUUCUCCAACCGUUGAGUGUAACCAACCAUCUUGAUUACGUGUGGUCCUACUGCUGCGCCUUCUGCUAGCUUGCUCUCAACAAAGGCCUUAGACACAUUGAACCUUUCAGUCCUGGCCUGUGUUUGGAACAUGUCUCUAAGCGCCACGAUCAUAUCGUGCGCCUCAUGGUUUGUUUCGAACUGCAUCUGCAGCUCGGGUUCCAUGCAAGCAAGCAUAAGGCAGCUUACUUCAAGGUUAGCAUCACAUGCCUUCUUGUAAGCAUUCUUAGCAGCAGCGGGUGCAUCAUCAGCAGGUUCUUCUGGUAGUGGGUUGUCUAGAACAUCUUCCUUUUUCUCAGCCCUGAGAACAAUUCUCAGGUUGCGGAUCCAAUCCGAGUAAUUUGUUCCAUUCAACUUGUCCUUCUCAAGGACCGAACGCAAAGCAAACGGUGUAGUGCUGCUAGAUGCCAUUUAAUCUACAACAAAGUAAUGCAAAAUACACUAAGACAAACGUAUCCAUGAUAGAGCAAAUUACAUUAAACUAUUUUAACAGAAUCUACUCCCACUAAAAUCAAUAUCCCUCUAUUGAAACUUAGUGAUUCAGGAUCCACAACUAACAAGUCCACUAGUGAGCUUUAGCAUCACCGCUAGCAAACGAGGUAGAUCGGUAAGCAACUUUUGCUAAUCAUAUCACAUAUGACUCCUGUUGUUGGGUGACAUCUCUAUGUCUCGGCGCCCAACCUUUAUGCCCCAAGGUCCUUAACCGUUAAGAUGACCUUGUUAAGCAAACCAACCCUUAUGCGUGUAAGUGUCCGACACAAACCCGUCUAGUCAAGGAAAACUAGUGGCACCCUAAUUUCAUAGACCCACCACUAAUUGUACAAGACAUGGGACGGUGCAAGUUUUAGUUGGGAGGGUGUUGGCGCUAGAAAUCGGUCAACCGAAUCCCAGCGACCGACACACGACCCGGGAGAAUCUGCUUAGCUCCUGUUCGGGUAAAUGCCCUGGUGUGGUUCGCGCGGCGUGCCAGCCAAUCUGACCUGUUGAUUGGCAAGGAAGAACACGUGUCAAAUUCAGAAACUACGAUCGGCUAAGUUUCCGAUCGAGAGAAGCUUAAUCGGCAAAUCGGCCGAUUUACUGUGAUAAUGAAAUCGGCUAUAAGACAGCACGAUCCCUGUAGCCUUGUAGACAGAAAAAUACUAAAGUAAUCGGUACAAAGCUUGUGAUAACAGCACUAGGAAAAGAUCUAAUCGGCAACGAAUGGAUCUAACGACAGAAGGUGAUGAAAGCCGAUACUACCGAUUCCUAGCGAGAUAACUGGUGAUAAAAACUAGGAAAACAGGUAAAAACCUAUGAAUCUAGUUGAUAUCGAUAACUGAUGAAUAAAUCUAAACGAAACAACAGCGAUGCGCCGGAAGUUAAAGCUUAGAUAUUACUUGAUAAGCGGAACUUACAGAAUCGGCCGGAGAUCAAGAUGAUGCAGCCCUGCCAACCCGCACGAACUCGUGAGAAGAAAAAGUAAUGGCGAAGUCGCCUGCUCGAAAGUAAGUACGAAGAAGAAAGUAACUUGUUGUAUUGAUUGAUUGUUGUGUUUACAGAUUUACAAAGGUAGCUAUUUAUAGCCCUGUACAAAUAACCUUCUUAACUGACUAGAACUCUAUCUCUAAUUCAAACAGAAAACAAAUAUCUACAAGCACAACCCGUGCUAAACUAGUUACCCCAUGCUUCGUGGGCUGACCUCCACCUUAUCCUUCCAUCUUUCCAAGCCCAUACAGGCCCAACUAGUCCAUCUUCCUGAUCGGCCGAUUUCUUAUCGGCAAAGGAUUGCCGAUUGGGAGUCUGGCGCAUUCACCCUGAAGCGAAGCAAAAGCUACCGGCCGAUUCCGCAUUAUAGCACCAUUUGACCGAUUCCCAACCGUACUUCUUCGACUUCUUUUCUCCUUGGCGCCGAUUCUACUGAUGACGAAAUCCGGCGUCAACACAUGCCCCCCAGUUUCGGAGUAAAACACAGUCUUUUACUUCGAAAUUCUUUAUAACCUCCCCUCCGAAACGGCCGCAGUGAAAAUAUCCUUCCGUUUCGCGGUCUCCCGGCUGAUCAUUGCAAUUUUUGAAACGGGCGCCCACGACAGCCACUACCCCGAAAAACUCGACACGCCGGCGCGGUGAAAAUUCCAUCUUUACCCUCUCUUCAGGCACCCUAUAAAUAACACCUCACCGCAGCUCAUCUUCAAGCUCACGUCUCUUUUUCCAACGCGCGCGCAUCCUUCUUUCUUCAAUUCUCCCUUGCCAUCGAAGUCUUCUAGUUCCAGCUCCUGUCACUUCUUCCCCUUUCCCUUCAAUGGCGACUCCUUCCGGCAAUUCCCCCGCACGCGAUGCUCCAGAGAUAGUGCCUCCGGUGGUGGUAGCGACGGCCGUCACUUCUUCCGCAGAUGAAAAAGCUUCAUCAGAAAUCCCAAUGGCGGUCCCCAUCAUGGCCCCGUCAUCUGCAUCCGCGUCGGCGACCACGCCGAUUACUCAGAACUUUAUCCCGGAGGUAAAUACCGAAUCCUUCCUCUAUCGGCAAUAUAUUCAUCUUAGAUCUAUUCCUUACAUUCCUAUGCCCCUUUUCUUUUUUUUUAGGCGGUUAGACAUAGAAUUACUAUUCACCUCACGGGCAAUCCUGGCCUUGUUUGCCUUGGCCCCAUGGGAGACCCAGAUCCGGCGGUUCUUAUAGAUUUGGAAACUUAUCGGAUACCUUUCAAACGAUCCGAUAUGAACUUAGAUCAAUGGGCAAGCACUUUUAGAUCCUGGCCGAAUGAAACCCCAGGUUGGAGGGAAUGGUACCAACGGGUGGCCGCGUCAAGGAGCGUCUCGUGGGAUGAGCUCAAAAUUGGCCAAUGUAUCAACCUCUCCCUGUCUCAAAUGGAGAAAAACGAGCCGUUAGUGAUGGCGACUUCCUAUUUUUGGUCUGACGCACUUAAUGCGUUCUUGUUUGGACACGGUCCUAUGACUCCCACUCUGGCCGAUGUGGUCCUCUUGACCGGCCUGGACAUAUCUUCCCCUGACAAACCUUUCCAGCUUUUGACCGUAACAUCGCAUCGGCUGGACACAAGGGGAAUCGGCGGCUGGAAGGGCUUUAUCAGUAGUAUCAAGAAGACCGGUACUGUUGAGAACAGGGAACACACCGCUUUCCUGAUGAUGUGGCUAGAAAAACACCUUUUCUGUAGAAGAGCCGCCGGCCCAACAACCAACACCCAAUCUUUAGCUGAAGCACUGUCCAAAGGAAACCAUAUUCCUCUCGGGAAACAUCUUCUGGGUGCCGUGUACCAUAUGCUCCAUCAAAUCAGUACGAAACUUUCCAAGGGAGAACCAAUCGGCAACCCAGGUGGGCCUUGGUGGUUCGUCAAUCUAUGGUUGAACCUUUACAUGAACAGAAUCACCCGGCAGCCAGUGGACCACAUGACGUUUCCCAAUAUCGAAUCGGCGGAGGACCCUACCGAGCGUCGCCGAUGCAUGUCUUAUGGUGAAGCAGCGUCAGCUUUUCCAGGUUGUGCGUAUUCCGCUACAAAGGUAGCCGAGUACUUUCGGUGCUUUUAUAAUGGAUUUAAUGAGGACGCAACUACCUGGUUUCCAUACCAGCGAGACAUCCCAGUCUUCGAGCUCCCCUCCUGCUUCGAUUCAACUUCUGGCCGGUUUGAUGAAGAUCUUUAUGAAGAACUGAUUAAACCAGGACUCUUACCGGCCAACUUCUUCUCGGGGAAAGAUGCCCCUACAUACGAAUUCUACAACCCGUCUACUGCCGCACGACAAUUCGGCAUGGGUCAAUUGCCGAUACGGGUGUAUUUUGCUGGCCGAAUCAAGUUCAGAGAUGUGCUUACAACUGGCCUGGAUUACUGUCGGCUGCGAGACCGAAUUCCGGACUCCAGUACAAUUAAUUUGAAUGACUGGCUAUUAUAUCCAUUUGCCAUCCAGCCGUUCAAACUUUGGUGGGCCGAAUGGAAGCAAUUUCUAUUCUGCAACUCAGCAUCGGCAUACUGCAAUCUUCUAGAUCCGGCCAACAUUGAUCCCAACGCCGAGGUAUUUCUGAUUACCAAUUUUGUUCUUUUCCAACAUGAUUGAGUACUAAUGAUUUCAUUGUUUCUUUAGGCCGAGAAUCAAACCCCUCCAACGCACAGCCGCAGCGGUCGGCUAAUGGAGAGCUACCCGUACACCACCUAUCCCCUUAUCGGCUAUGACGCUCCGUCAGUUGACAUGAUUGCUGGCCGAUCGAACAAGGUUCAUAAAAAGGUCAUCAAGAAAACCAGUCGCCGAGUCCGGGCUCGUACGACAUCGGCGGAUCCUCCUGUGCUCGUAUCGGCAGAAACCUUGACUGCAUCGCCCCAGGCCACACAAAGUACCGAUACUCAAGCCAUUGCACAAGCCGGAGCGGCUGCCGCCUCACUAUUGUUGGAAGCUUUACAAGUGAGUUCAAGCUUUGCCAUCUCCGAUCGUUAUUUACAUAUUAACUUUUUCUUAACUCUGUAUUCCCCAGAGCACCGCUUCGGAAAUACCACAAUCGGCGACAACUCGACCGGACGCCAACGCACCCUUGCCCUCAUCCAUUGAGGUAUAGUACUUAUCUUACGGAUUUCCUUCGGGUAUCCGUGUAAUAUUUUUGACCGAUUUUCUGACGCAGGCCAUCGGCACGCCGAGCGUUUCUCGACAACCGAUUUCUUCUCAGGGAGCUGGUCCGAGCACCGCACCGAUUAUUGUAGAAUCUUCUUCAUCAGAUGAACCCAUGGUACAGGCCACUGAGCAAGUCCCGACAGUUUUACAAGCACAGCAUGAAGAAAUUCGCUUUAAAAUGGUAAGCCACUAAACCAGCUUUCAACCAGCCGAUUCGCUCUGUUUCCCCGCCGACUCACCCUUUUUUUUUCUUAUUCUCUUAGGAGCAAGACUCUCCCGACAACAGCCUCUUCUCCUUCGCGGUUGCUCUUUCUGAUGAUGAAGAAAUUGCGUCCCGCCAAGUCGCUUUAAGCUCCGUUCCUGACGAUGUCCGAGCUAAACUUGCCAACAUCCGAUCCCUCCUGCAAGGGGACAUCGGCCGAUUGGUAGAAGAUGCUUCGCCGAUUCGGCAGCUCUUUAGCGACGUCAGCGGAUGGGUACCAGAGGAAGCGGAAGAGGCCUUGGCACCGGCGGCCUUUAUUGAGUCCAUGAGGAUCCUAGUUUUUAGGGCCCUUCGUCAUAUGGCCGAUCGCGCGAAGCUGGCCAAGACUCGUGAAGAUGAGAAUGCUUUUAAGCGUCAGGCUCAGGAAGCGAAUCGGCGUAUCCAUGUCUUAGAAGAUUCACGCCCGGCGAUCAUUAGUGAAAUAGAUCGCCUCAAACGACGGCGGGCGGAACUUGCCAAAGAGAUGGAGCAAGUGACCAAGGCAAUCAACGCUGAAGAGAACAAACUUCAAGAGUUACCCUCUGCUAUUGCCGAUUUGACACGGGAGAGGCAGCGUUUUGCUCAAGAGGCUCUGAGACUCCACCGCAACGCAUCGGAGGUCCCUGGAUCAGCAGAAGAAGACCAACGGGUUCUUGACUCUGCCGAUCAGAUCCGGCGUCGGGCCAUCACGGCUAUCGAUACCCUUUUGGGUAAUCUGUAAAACACUGACCGUUUUGUACGAACAUUUACUGCCUUCUUUGACCGACCCUUCGCGACGCCCUCUAUUUACUGCCUUCCUUAUUACCGAUGGGACGUGGCCUCAUCAGAUUUCCACGCAUUUCCCCCAUAAAUAUCGACCUCGGCGCUUACUCCCGAUAGCAUUGAUCUGGCUCCCCUUUUGCCUUUCCUCUUCCUCUCAUCGGCACGACUGUUUCGCCAUGGCCUCAUCGUCAUCCUCUUCUGUCAACCAGGUGAGGUCCCGCCUUCUCCUCUUAGAUCUUAGGAAACGAAUGCUUCACCUUAUUCCUUCUUUGUUUCAGCCCCAACGCCUUGGUCCGGAGCUCGUGCGCGCCAUCGAGUGCAUCCAUUCCGAAGACCCGUUGACCCCGGAGGACAAGGCUCUGCUUCUGGCCCAUCGAGAGGAGCUCCAAGACCACAUUACUGCAGAUGCUCGUGUAGUCUUGGAUGCCGUGGUGAACGAAAGCCGUCGCCGAUCUCCAGUCAUGAGGGGUCGUCAUCGUGACGUUCCCGGAGAUGACGUCACUUCGACAGCCCGCACGAUCCUGGACUUCUUGGAAAGGAAUGGCAGCCCGCGGCCUCCCACCGAUAGGGUCCGUCUGCUUCCUCGUCCCGUCAUCCUGGCAGCGGCAGAGGCCUCGCGCCUUCGUGCUUUGGAGCGGAAUGGGGAAUCAUAUCAGAAGAAGGAUAAUUAGUUUGUUUUUUGUAAUUUUUUGUUCUAAGGGCGACUUAAUGUUUUGUCGGCCAUGUAAUCUGUCGCCCGUACCGAAUGAAUAUAAUUGGCUACUCCGGUCGAUUUUAUGUGCUUGUUAAACCGACUUGUAUCGGCCAUGUAAGAUUGUGUUACGGCUGAUUUCUUAGGCUCCAACCCAUAUACUUGGGUAAUAUCUUUUUAAGUACCUCCCAUUCAGAGCUCUAGUGAAUUCUUCUCCUUCUAUUGUUUCCAAAAUAUAGGCAUUCCCUGGAGCACAUCUGCCGAUUUUAUACGGCCCUUCCCAGGUAGGAGACCAUUUGCCGAAUUUAGGAUCUUUCGAUCCGAUCGGUAGUACCAAUUUCCAUACCAGGUCUCCGGGGAAGAACUGCUUGACUUUGACCUUUUUAUCGUACCACCUGACCACUCUCUUUUUAUUCUCUUCGAUACUUAUCAGAGCCCUUAGCCGUUGGCCGGCCAAAUCAUCAAGUUCUCCCUUCAUCAGAGAUGAGUAAUCAUCGGCUGACAACUGGUCCUGAAGUGAGAUGCGCCUUGAUCCUGCCCUCGACUCCCAUGGCAGUACUGCAUCGUGACCGUAUACCAACUGAUAGGGAGAUAACUUGGUAGCCCCAUGACAGGCCAUUCUGUAUGCCCACAGGGCUUCGGUCAAACAUAGGUGCCACUUCUUCGGGUAUUCUUCAAUCUUCCUUUUGAUCAACUUGAUUAUUCCUUUGUUGGAAGGUUCUGCUUGACCAUUGGCUUGAGCGUAAUACGGAGAAGAAUUUAACAAUUUGAUGCCCAUAUCGGUCGUAAAUUCCUCAAAUUCCCCCGAUGUGAACAUUGUUCCUUGAUCGGUUGUUAUAGUUUGAGGAAUACCGAAUCGGUAGACGAUAUGAUCCCUUACGAAAUCGGCCAUGAUAGCCGAAGUCACAGUCCUUAGUGGGAUUGCCUCCACCCAUUUGGUGAAGUAAUCAGUAGCAACCAGAAUAAACUUGUGCCCCUUGCUCGAUGGUGGAUAAAUUUGGCCGAUAAGGUCUAUUCCCCACCCUCUGAACGGCCAUGGUUUGAUGAUGGGAUUCAUGGCCGACGCGGGUGCACGUUGGACAUUUCCAAACUUUUGACACUCCUGACAACCCUUAUAAUAUUUGAAACAGUCUUCGAGGAUCGUAGGCCAAUAGUACCCGUUGUUUCUGAUCAUCCACUUCAUCUUAUGUGCUGAUUGGUGAGCUCCGCAUACCCCUUCAUGGAUUUCUCCCAUUAGAGUCUUGGCUUCUUCUGUCCCAAGGCAUUUAAGAAGAACACCAUCGAUCGUUCGGUAGAACAGAUCAUCUUCGAGCAAUACGUACUUGGUAGCGUGAAAGCGCACUCGUCGCUCCACCUUUUUAGACGGAUCCUUCAGGUAAUCGGCAAUUUCUUUACGCCAAUCGUCCGCUGCAAGUUCUAAGGCCAUGGUGCCCGGAAUCGGCCGAUACCCAGAUGCGUGUUGAGCGAGUUUGUUUGCUUCCUCGUUGCAGUCUCUUGGGACAUGCUCGAUUACUACCGAUCUGAAUUCUUUUAAAAGCUGUAAGCAAUCUUCGUGAUGAAUUCGUAAUAUGUCAUCUUUGCACUCAGCCCUUCCGGUUAGUUGAUCCACAAUUAGCAUCGAAUCUCCGAAGACCUCAACAGAAUCGGCCUUGACUUCUCUCAAUAAUCGUAAGCCUUUUAAUACAGCUCUGUACUCCGCUUGAUUGUUUGUGGCGGCGGUUUCUAUCGGCAGAGAAAAAUUAUAUCUUGCCCCCCGAGGCGAUAUGAGAACGAUGCCGAUUCCUGAUCCGACUCCGCAUGAUGACCCAUCAAAAAAUAACUGCCAAGGCGCUAGUUCCACGAAGGCGAUCUCCGGCCCACAGUGCUGGGCGACGAAAUCGGCCAUGACUUGACCCUUGAUGGCUUUUGCCGAUUCAUACCGUAGGUCAAAUUCUGAUAAAGCUAAGAUCCAUUUACCGAUUCGUCCUUUCAAUAUCGGCAGCGACAGCAUGUAUUUCACUACAUCAUCUUUGCAUACGACUAUACAUUCUGCCGACAGUAGAUAGUGCCUGAGUUUGGUGCACGAGAAGUAAAGACACAAACACAAACGCUCCACCGGAGGAUAUCUUGUUUCGGCAUCCAGGAGUCUCCUACUGACGUAAUAAAUGACCCGCUCUUUGCCUUCAAACUCUUGGACUAGAGCCGACCCGAUAGCUUUUUCAUCGGCUGAUAAAUACAGUUUAAACGGUUUACCAGUUUGAGGGGGAACCAAGACUGGCGGUGAGACCAAGUAUCGCUUGAUAUCUUCCAACGCCUUGCGCUGUUCCUCUCCCCAUAUAAAUUCCUGGUCUGGCUUCAACUUCAGAAGUGGCGUGAACGCCUGAAUUCGUCCAGAUAGAUUAGAUAUAAACCUUCUGAUGAAGUUUACCUUGCCGAUUAGAGACUGUAGCUCAGUUUUGUUCUGUGGGGCGACGACUUUGUUGAUGGCCGCUAUGGUCUUCUGAUUGACUUCUAUGCCACGUUCGUGCACCAUGAAUCCUAAGAACUGUCCGGCGGAGACGCCGAAAGCGCAUUUGUUGGGAUUCAUCUUAAGACCAUGCUUCUUGGUACACUCUAGCACCCUUCGCAAAUCGGCUAGAUGUUCCUCGUGGCUUUUGGACUUGACCACAACGUCAUCGAUAUAGAUCUCCACCAGGAGGCCAAUGAGUUUGUGAAAAAUGUAGUUCAUGGCUCUCUGAUACGUAGCACCAGCAUUCUUCAAGCCGAAAGUCAUUACCACCCACUCGAAUAAACCAAGAUGGCCUGGACAUCUGAAAGCCGUUUUGGGUAUGUCCUCUUCGGCCAUAAGUAUUUGAUUGUAUCCGGCGUUUCCAUCCAUGAAGCUAAUAAUUUUGUGUCCUGCGGCAGCGUCGAUCAGUACAUCGGCCGUAGGCAUGGGGUAACCAUCCAUCGGUGUGGCCUGAUUAAGAUUCCUGAAAUCAACGCAAACGCGCAGCUUCCCAUUUUUCUUGUACACUGGCACGAUAUUAGAAAUCCACUCGGCAUAACGACAUUGCCGAAUAAAUUUUGCUUCAAUUAGCCGAGUUAUUUCAGCUUUUAUGUCUGGUAAAAUUUUAGGAUUGCAUCGCCGUGCGGGUUGUUGGUACGGCCGAUACCCUGGCUUUAUGGGUAGCCGAUGUUCAACAAUAGAUCGAUCUAAUCUGGGCAUCUCGUGAUACUCCCAAGCAAAACAAUCCUUGAAUUCUCUUAAUAAAUUUGUCAAUUUACACUUAUACUCCGGAUCUAAAUUUGCACUAAUAAAAGUCGGCCUUGGUUUGGUCCCGUCACCUAAGUCUAUCAUCUCUAAUGAAUCGGCCGACGUGAAUCCGUGUCCCAGCUUCCCGUCUUCUCGGGCGAACUGAUCCAUCUAUUGCGCUUCUUCGGAGCCGACUGCUCGGAUCGGCUGUAGGCCAAAAUCGGUGACCUUCAGGAAAUCGGUUUCCCACACCCUACCUGAUAUGCAUCUGACGGUUUCGCAGCUCCAUUGCUGUGCGUCGGCUGCUGCGAUGCUGUACGCGGAGUCGGCUUUGACCACCUCGAUGUUAUCGCCGACCCAUUGUACAAGGCAUUGAUGCAUAGUUGACGGGAUGCAGCAAUUUGCGUGUAUCCAGUCUCGGCCAAGAAGCAUAUUAUAGGACCCUUUGCCAUUAAUGACGAAAAACGUGGUAGGAAGGGUCUUACUGCCGAUGGUGAGGUCGACGCAGAGGGCACCGCGAGCGUUUGACACUUUGCCUUCGAAGUCCUUGAGCAUCAUGUCCGUCCUGGUUAGGUCGUCGUCGCUCUUUCCCAACUUUCGGAGUACGGCAUACGGCAUGAUAUUGACGGCAGCUCCCCCGUCGACCAUCAAUCUAGUGAGGGGGCGACCGUCAACAUGCCCUUUAAGGAACAACGCCUUCAUAUGUUGUCGUUCGUCGUCUUCGGGCUUUUCGAAUGUGGCCAUCAUUGGUUCUAAAGCCAACCGUGCUGUUUGUUCCUCUAUCGCCGACACGUCCUGUUGAUCGGCAGGGGUCAUGAACUCCAUCGGCAAUAUGAAAACCAUACCGAUCUCGGCUGCCGAUUCAUCACCCGCCGACUCAUUGUUUCCCUUGUCGUUUCUUUUGGGGCGCCACACCCGAGGCCUCCCUUCCUUCUUGUCCAUCACGCUCUCUUCUUCUUGCUGUUCCCAUUGGCGGAGGCGUUGGAUUCUCCGUUUUUGUGAUUUGGUUAAACCAUCGGGGCACCAUCUGGGGUUUAUUGGCCUCCCUUCUUUCCCGGCGCGUUCCCAUUCUGGCUCGUGUCCUAACGGGUUCUCGUCCGUUACCCGAGCAUCGGCCAUGUCUUCGAGCCGGCUGUGAACGCUGGCUUUGCUACUUGAUUGAUCAUGUCGAUCGGCCCUGCCCCCCUGCCUAUUAUGGCUUCUAUCUUCUGACCGAUCAUAUCGGUCACUUCUGCCCCCCAGCCGAUCACGCAUGGGAGGGCGCUGCUCAUCUGGGUUGCGCCAAUUCCUGCUGAUCGGUUCUGGCCUUCCGUCUCUGGAGCGAGACCUGGUGAACGGCCGAUUGCCUCGAUAGGGACCGUUGCACUCCGGGCAAGUAUCGGCCGACGGUAGCCUGAGGUUAUUUUCCCAACAAUGCACGAAGAAUGGGCACCUCCAGUGCUCCUCGUGCCGACGCAUCGCUUCCUCUCGGGACCUCGAGCGUUCAUGUUGGCGUUGGUACUUUUGGAGCAGGAACUGGGAAGUAAUGCGUGGUCCUUCUGACUCACCAUCAUCGUCCUCCAUUCGUCGCUUUCCCUUGAUGUCUUCAGACGUAACUUGAUUUCUGGGAUCGACAGCGCCACUCUUUUUGGCCGACUCGGACGUCAGCACUUUUGUUUGGAGAGAAUUCUUUCCCGUGUCAGCCAUGUUGGUAGGAAAAGGGUGCUGGUCGAUUUUCAUUGGUUUGGCCGGUUUUGCCGGCACUUCAAAUUUGAGUCUGCCCUGCUCAAUGGCCGACUGUAUUUGUUGCCUGAAGAUUUUGCACUCGUUGGUAUCAUGUGAUGUGGCAUUGUGCCACUUGCAAUACUUCAUCUUCUUCAAUUGUUCGGCAGAGGGUAUUGUAUGGUAAGGCGAGAGUUUAAUCUGCCCUUCCUGGAGUAGAAGAUCGAAGAUUUUGUCAGCUUUAGUUGUAUCGAAACCAAAUGCUUCCGGCUCCUUCUUGCCGAAUGGGCAUGAUAUCGGCUUCUUUCCCUUAAUCCACUCUGCAAGUCCGAUUUCGGCAUCUUCCUCGUCCUCUAAUUCUUCCAGGAAUGCCACUUUCUUCUGGAAAUUCCUUCUAGGAUCGAACGGACGCACUUCCUGCCCGGACAAUCGGUGGACAAUCUGGCUCAGGCUCUCGAACUCUUGUGAAGCAUAUUUUUCUUUAAUGUGUGGCAGCAGGCCUUGGAAAGCUAUAUCGGCCAACUGUGCGUCGGUUAGAGCCAGGGAGUAGCAUUUGUUCCUGAUUUCCCGAAACCUCUGUAUAUACGAGGGUAUCGGCUCAUCACUUCUUUGCCGGAGGCUAGUCAAAUCGGACAGCUUCAUUUCAUGGACCCCAGCAUAGAAGUACUUGUGGAACUGCCUUUCUAGAUCGGCCCAUGUGAUAAUUGAGUUUGGUGGCAAAGUUGUGAACCACUGGAAGGCCGAUCCAGACAAGGAUGACGAGAACAACCGCACCCGCAGGGCGUCUUGCGUAGCUGCCUCCCCACAUUGAAUGAUGAAUCUAUUCACAUGUUCCACGGUAGAGGUGUCAUCCAUCCCCGAAAAUUUGGUAAAAUCAGGAACUUUGUACCGAUGAGGGAACGGCAACAUGUCAUAUGUAGAUGGGUAUGGUGUUCUAUAGGUAUAAGUUUGUACUUUCGGCUUCAAGCCGAAUUGUUCUUGCAUUACCUCUGCAAUCUGUGCCGACCAAUCUGGUUGUUGCUGGGGAACAGUUGGCUGCGGUAUCGGCACGUGCUGAUAAAUCGGAGGCUGAAUAAAAGGAGAUUGAUGAAAAGGUGGUAUCUGAGUGUAAGCUGGUGGUGUAGUAAAGGACGGCUGCUUGUAUGAACCACUUGUUUCAUCAUAUAGCAUGAGCUCCGACGUCUUGUUGACCUCCGGAGCGAUAGGCUGGUAUGGUGGUAUGAUCGGCCGAGUGGCCGUUUGGGAGGGUGUCUGGAACGGAGGAUUUCCUUGACUGACCGAUUGAUUCAAACCGGUCGUGUUUAAAGGUGCCCCCCAGGGUAAAGGGAUGACUGGAGGGAGUGGUGCAGAGGACGGUUGGAUAGAGCCAUAUCCCAAAGGAGUUGAUGACGCAGAAGCACCGGAUCCUCCGACAGAGGAUUGUAGCGGCUGUGAAGCCUGAUAAGCCUGAUUUGGUGGAAUCGGCUGAAAAUACGUUGGUCCCCUGUACCCUUGAGGUAUACCUCCGGCGAAGGAGUUGACAACAGCAUUGUGCACCAUGUUUGAGAGUACCGGGGAUUGGUUGAUGAAGGCGUGAUGAAGAGAUUGUUCAAUCAUAUCGGACAUUUUAUCCGAAUCUUCAGAAAUUGUGAUCUGACGGGGAGUAGGGAAAGGAGACUUUUUAACAGUUUCCCCGCUCCUGGAACGACUGAAGGAUUUCAAGCAAGUUUUCCGGACUUGCUCCAAAUACUUAUUCAGAUCUUCUUUUUGGUCGUCCUUUAGAUCUGCUUCCGUCACUUCGAUGACGUUAUCUUCGGAGACUUCAGCAGCUUUCGACAUGACAGCGGUUGUAUUGGUCCCACCGGGCGUGCUAAAAGUGUGUUGGCGCUAGAAAUCGGUCAACCGAAUCCCAGCGACUGACACACGACCCGGGAGAAUCUGCUUAGCUCCUGUUCGGGUAAAUGCCCUGGUGCGGUUCGCGCGGCGUGCCAGCCAAUCUGACCUGUUGAUUGGCAAGGAAGAACACGUGUCAAAUUCAGAAACUACGAUCGGCUAAGUUUCCGAUCGAGAGAAGCUUAAUCGGCAAAUCGGCCGAUUUACUGUGAUAAUGAAAUCGGCUAUAAGACAGCACGAUCCCUGUAGCCUUGUAGACAGAAAAAUACUAAAGUAAUCGGUACAAAGCUUGUGAUAACAGCACUAGGAAAAGAUCUAAUCGGCAAUGAAUGGAUCUAACGACAGAAGGUGAUGAAAGCCGAUACUACCGAUUCCUAGCGGGAUAACUGGUGAUAAAAACUAGGAAAACAGGUAAAAACCUAUGAAUCUAGUUGAUAUCGAUAACUGAUGAAUAAAUCUAAACGAAACAACAGCGAUGCACCGGAAGUUAAAGCUUAGAUAUUACUCGAUAAGCGGAACUUACAGAAUCAGCCGGAGAUCAAGAUGAUGCAGCCCUGCCAACCCGCACGAACUCGUGAGAAGAAAAAGUAAUGGCGAAGUCGCCUGCUCGAAAGUAAGUACGAAGAAGAAAGUAACUUGUUGUAUUGAUUGAUUGUUGUGUUUACAGAUUUACAAAGGUAGCUAUUUAUAGCCCUGUACAAAUAACCUUCUUAACUGACUAGAACUCUAUCUCUAAUUCAAACAGAAAACAAAUAUCUACAAGCACAACCCGUGCUAAACUAGUUACCCCACGCUUCGUGGGCUGACCUCCACCUUAUCCUUCCAUCUUUCCAAGCCCAUACAGGCCCAACUAGUCCAUCUUCCUGAUCGGCCGAUUUCUUAUCGGCAAAGGAUUGCCGAUUGGGAGUCUGGCGCAUUCACCCUGAAGCGAAGCAAAAGCUACCGGCCGAUUCCGCAUUAUAGCACCAUUUGACCGAUUCCCAACCGUACUUCUUCGACUUCUUUUCUCCUUGGCGCCGAUUCUACUGAUGACGAAAUCCGGCGUCAACAGAGGGCAUACUAACUUAAACUUUGUGAGGGAUCGUUCUACUUUUAACAUCACAGCAUGCAGAAAGUAAAACAUAAACAGAAUAGCAUUCACACAGUUGUGACACAGUAUGACCCGUUUUCUUAUGGUGAUCUCCAUCUCCAUAGAACCUGUUCACCAUGGUGAUCUCCAUCUCCAUGUUCCAUGUGCGCCAUCCUCCUGGUGAUGAGUCCUCCAAGAACUAGAGCAUGCUAUUACGCCUGAUAGCUAGUAAAAAAUCUAGUAAUGAAGAUUACAUAGUUGCUUGGAUCAUCACAGAUUGGUACGCAGAUCAUUAAAUACAAUAAAGUGACAACACAUAUGGCUCCUGCCGUGUUGCCGUAUGCGCGACACGCAGGUCACGAAUGAGUUACACACAUGCAUCACAUACACAAGGGGGCCAUACUGAUCACAAGAUAAAUACAUACAUCCUGCAAAAGAGAGUUAGGCGUCCUAACGUUCCAAACUUGGGAGGCCCGAAACUCCAUCUUCCAAGCCGAAUUUGGGAAAUCUAAUUUCGCCAAAAACAGCAAAGCCGUUGAAUUUCAUGUGUAACUUUUUCUGUAGAUCAAUUUUCGUAUAAAAAUCGCCUCGAUCCGAGAUCGUACCGAAAAGUUACAGCUGAUUUACCGAAGCAUACGCAUACGGCAAAAUCCCGACCCCGACAGUAGAUCACAUCUACUAUUGCACAUCUAAUGCGCCUGGCGUAUGACCCUGGAUCUCGAUUCGACCAAUCAUAUUGAUCUUCGCUCACUGCAACUGGAUUUACGUGUAUCACUUAACUCCGAUGGCGGAAACCGACCGGUAGGAGUAUGUCGUUACACUACCAUUGCAGCAAGGGCACGAAAUCAGGACAUAGAUCAAACAGAGAACUCGCAUAUCUCCAUAUGCACACAUCCCGAAUCCAAAACUAAGCAGCUACGGCUCUGAUACUACUGUUGCGAUACGAGGUAGGCUACACUAGCGUAAAUCAAAAUUUCUACCGCGUAUAACCAGGAAGAACUGCCGUAUAAGGAUCACGGGAUUACCACUCGACGCACUACUGGUGUGGAAGAUGUAGAUAUGCGUCGAUGCAGUGAAGACGAUCACGUAGUUGUACGUAGUCGAUCAACGUAGUCGUACGUAGUCGAUCACGUCCAGCAGCUCCUCAGCAGCUCGUCCACGUGCACAGCAAGAUCGCCUCCGGUACCGCGGCUCGUCGUCGGCUCGUCGUGGCUCGUCGGCGGCUCGUCCAAGUGCUGCAGGCGCAACACCUCCAAGGUAUCCACACGUGCAGGGAGGAAGCGUCGCAAGCCGGAUUGCUAGAUCCGCGAGUUGCAGCAGGCGAGGGCGUGGGAGGCGCGGCAGGUGUGUUUCGCCAAAAGGUGUAAACCCUAGGGCACCCCCACCCCUCUAUUUAUAGAGGUUCCUGAUGGGCCUCUGGAUCCGAGGCCCAUUAGUACUCCUAAACCUAAUCCAACUCGGAUCAGAUCCGAAUUGGGCUUCCAGCCCCUUAAGUGUGUGACCCUAUGGGUUCGAAUUCGUAUAGACAUGGCCCGAGUACUCCUACUCGGCCCAAUAGUCGGUAGCAGCCUCUAGCAAGACGUGACAACUCCUAUACGCAUACGAAGAUCAUAUCAGACGAACCAUCACAACAUAAUAUACAUGCUAUUCCCUUUGCCUCACGAUAUUUGGUCUAGCUUCAAGCCGACCGCUCUUUCUCGAUCCUGUGAUUCGGAAUCCCUUUGUAGGUUAACUCUUAACCGUACGUAGCAUGGCCAUGCAUUUUUCGGAUCCGGUCACUCGAGGGGCCCAGAGAUAUCACUCUCAAUCAGAGAGGGGCAAAUCCCUUCUUGAUUUGACCAUGUCUCAUAGCAUGCUUCUUGACAAACCCGAAAGCUACCUUUAUAACUACCCUGUUACGGCGUAGCGUUUGAUAGCCCCUAAGUAGGUCGAUCCACAUCUAGAAUACAUGCGACAAUCUCAGGUCUAAGGACAAAGCGUAUAUGUUGUUUAAAGAGAGAACUACUUCUCGUGUUGGGUCAGUCCUAACACAUGUCUCCACAUGUGUCCACAUUAUUAGUUCAACAUCUCCAUGUCCAUGACUUGUGAAACAUAGUCAUCAACUAAUACAUGUGCUAGUCUAAUAUUCAUGUGUGUCAUCACAUGAACUCCGACUAGGGACAACUUUAGAAUAACCAUACAAGUAAAGAGUUUCACAUACAAUUCACAUAAUUGCAAAUCAAUUCAAGUAGCCUUUAAUGGAUAUUCAAUGAACACAAUAUACAAAUCAUGGAUACAAAUGGAAUAUCAUCAUCUCUAUAAUUGCCUCUAGGGCAUACCUCCAACAGUCUCCCACUUGCACUAGAGUCAAUCUAGAAGGUACCUAAUACCCAUAGCUCUUACAUGCGCAUCAUGCUUAGCCUGCGGGAGUGGUUUUGUCAACGGAUCAGAAAUGUUCAGAUCCGUGUGUAUUUUGCAUAUCUUGAUCUCACCCCGGUUAACGAAGUCUCGAAUGAGAUGAAAUCGCCGCAUUACGUGUUUGUUCUUCUGGUGGUUCCUUGGCUCCUUUGCUUGCACAAUAGCCCCAUUGUUAUCACAGUAGAGAUUCAAUGGGUUGGACGCAUUCGGGAACACACCAAGCUCAAUGAGGAAAUUCCUUAUCCAAACACCUUCCUUCGCGGCUUCCGAAGCUGCGAUGUACUCGGCUUCUGUCGUAGAAUCGGCCACCGUCUCCUGCUUGGAACUCUUCCAACUAACAGCACCACCAUUUAGCGUGAACACAAAUCCUGAUUGUGACUUUGAAUCAUCUCUGUCGGUUUGGAAACUAGCAUCGGUGUAACCUGUUACAACGAGCUCUUCCUGACCUCCAUAGACGAGGAACAUAUCUUUAGUCCUUCUCAAGUACUUAAGAAUGUUUUUCACCGCUGUCCAGUGACUCUCACCUGGAUCAGAUUGGUGUCUGCUUGUCAUACUUAGCGCAUAUGAAACAUCUAGGCGAGUACUUAUCAUUGCAUACAUGAUAGAUCCAAUAGCCGAGGCAUAUGGCACUCUACUCAUGCGAUCCCGCUCAUCAGCAGUCGAAGGACACUGAGUCUUGCUGAGAUGUAUGCCAUGUGACAUAGGCAAGAACCCUUUCUUUGCCUCUUCCAUGCUGAACCGCUUCAACACUUUGUCAAUAUAAGUAUCUUGGCUCAGACCUAUAAGCCUUCUCGAUCUAUCUCUAUAGAUCUUAAUGCCCAGAAUAUAUGCCGCUUCCCCUAAGUCCUUCAUCGAAAAACUAUUUUUCAGUGAAGUCUUUACGGACUCAAGCAUAGGAAUGUUAUUUCCAAUCAGUAAUAUGUCAUCCACAUAUAAGAUUAGAAAUACUACAGAGCUCCCACUAACCUUCUUGUAAACACAAGACUCUUCUUCGUUCUUGGUGAAGUCAAACCCUUUGACCACUUCAUCAAAACGAAUGUUCCAACUCCUAGAUGCUUGCUUCAAUCCAUAAAUGGAUCUCUGAAGCUUGCAUACCUUUCCAGCAUUUUUCGGAUCGACAAACUAGAACUAUAUAUAGUAAAUAGGCACGGGCUAAAAGUAUUAUAUGAUUUUGAGCUAAAUAAAUAUAGGGUUGGGUUGUGAAGGAGAUAUGGAUCUCGUAGCCAUGAGUGAACAAAACAGAGAGCGCCACACAUCGAUUAAAAGGUGGGCCGAAACAGAUAAAAGAUAAAAAAGAAUCAUAUCGGCCCACAAUGAAAUGUUAAACAGAAGAACGCAAAUCUUGAAAACAUAUGGGUCGUUCAAAACCGACGGGCUAAUCUUUCUACGUGCUGGGCUGAUCCCAUGUGGGCCGAUACAGACACGUCAGGACAAGAAGACCCACCCGGCCAGGCCCAGACGCAGGAGACAAGAGAUUGAAGAGGAUAGAUCGAAUCAAUAGCCAACUCCUCUCGUCGUCCUCGUCUCCAAAUCGAGGCAUACCCCAAACCCUAGCCAUCCCCAAUCCGGCCGCCGCGUCUACCGAUCCGUUAGAUCCAUGGCCGCCGCCGCCGCCGCCGCUGCCGGCGACUCCGCUGUACCCAACUGGGUGAUGCUGGAGCGCUUGGCCUUCCGGAGGGACGACCCCGCCUCCUUCCGCGAGGACAGGAGGACCUUCGCUUCCGGCACCACCUCCGCCGGCACUCAAUUCGACGUCUCCUUCAUCCUCGCCGAGCCUCCCACCCCCUCGCGCCUCUACCUCUCGUGGCCGGAAGGGCCCAAGAAGGGGGGCCAGGGCCUGGUCAUGGCGGCCAACCGCAACCUCGUCCUCUUCAGGCUCGACUCCCUCGUCGACGAAUCCGAGCCUUUCGGGCAGGUAGUGCAUGAUUACUUCAUCUACAUAGCUAAUCCCUCCUCACAGCAGACACCCCUGCUCAGACGGCUGCCCCCCUGCACCGAGUACAACGUUUAUAUUGAGAUGCAAGUUACUCGCUUGUUUCCGGUGCUGGCUGUUGGUCUGUUGUGCCAUGGCGAAGACGAGUUUGCCGUGGCGCAUCUGGCCAUCAGGCCUCGCAAAAAAAAAUCAGGGUCUCGCAAAAAAAAAUCAGCUAUGCAAGCUGAGCUAUGCGUGCUACGCUCGUCAUUGUCCAGCAGUGAUGAUGCCAAAUGGGAGACCAAGGUCUUUCCGCUACAGUACCAAUACGAUGAUUUACACUAUGAUUUUCUGAACUGGGAAGUGGAUGGUGUAGUUCCCUUCAAGAAUGCCUUGUGCUGGGUUAACUACUGUAGAGGCAUCCUUUUCUUCGACGGCGUCUUUGAAGACAGACCCAAGGUCUCCUACAUCCGCUUGCCUCUGGAUACUUCUUUCCGAGGGACUGGGACUGAUGCCGAUGCACGCAAGGGGAUGUACCGUGGCUUGUGUGUCACUGAAGGUGGCCAUCGGUUGGUAUUUGUUGAUGUUGCCCGUCAUGAUGGAAAAUGUUAUGGCCCGAGGAUGCCCAACACUGGUUUCACCCUCACCUCCCGGACAUUGAAGAUGACAGGGAAUUGCACCACGCCGUGGGAGUGGAAUCAGGAUGCUGUUGUCACUUCAGAUGAACUAUGGCAUGCAAACACCAUGGAGAGUCUCCCUCGUGACAUUGUGAUGCUCCCAUUGCUGAGUAUAGAUAAGGCCAAUGUUGCGCACCUUUCAAUGCUUGACUGGGAUGGUGGCAGAUUCUCAUUAGUUUCCAUCGACUUGAGUAACAUGCAAGUGAUGGGCCCAGUCAUUACAUACCUCGAAGGGGAGGAUGAUACUGCUGAUGCUGACAUCGUCAAGACAAAGCAAGUAUUAUGUGCACA